rnacentral:lncRNA from 1 species
CUGAAUCUUAGUAGGGUCAGCAGACACCCCUGUCGACGAGACAAUGAACCCCAGAAAAACUACGCUAUCGGUGAAAAAGGAACAUUUCUUGACAUUAGCAUACAGGUUAGUCUCGCGAAGGGUAGAGCAAACUUAUUUGAGGUGGUCACGGUGUUGCUCCUUAGUUUUACUAUAGAUGAGGAUAUCAUCAAAGUAGACAACGAGAAAUUCACCUAUGAACGGCCGAAGAGUUUGUGUCAUUACCCGCAUGAAGGUACUCGGCGCAUUACUUAGCCCAAAAGGCAUGACCAGCCAUUCAUAAAGGCCAUCUUUCAUCUUAAACGCGGUCUUCCACUCAUCCCCUGGGCGAAUUCUAAUUUGAUGGUACCCACUCUUUAGAUCGAUCUUUAAAAAAAUUGUCGCGCCAACCAUCAUAUCCAGCAUAUCAUCAAGCUUGGGAAUGGGAAAACGAUACUUCGCCGUGAUCUUAUUGAUAGCGCGACUAUCCAUACACAUUCUCCAAGAUCCAUCCUUUUUGGGCGUCAAUAGGGCGGGGACAGCACAUGGGCUUAAACUCUCACGAAUGAAUUCUUUGUUGAGAAGGUCAUCCACUUGCCUUUGGAGCUCAGCGUGCUCGGUAGGAUUCAUACUAUAAUGUGGCAAAUUUGGAAGGGAUGCGUCGGGGACGAAAUCUAUGGCAUGCUGAAUAUCUCUUAGCGGAGGUAGAUGAUCAGGUAGGUCCUCCGGAAAGACAUCUUGAAACUCUUGAAGGAUCGAUUGGACUUCCGCAGUAUCCUCACUUGUGGAGUUAGAUGAAACCUCCAUGACUACUAAGGCGAACACAAUUGAGUCACCAACAAUUGUACGCUCAAACUCUGUAGGACUAAUGAUAUGCAACCCCUUUUGUUCCACACUUUUCUUCGCUUCUAGUGAGCCAGCUAGCUUUGGGGGUAGUGGGUUAAGGUGAAUCUUCUUUCCAUUAAACACGAAGGAGCAGGAAUUGGAUCGACCAUAUAUGGUUACAUCUAGGUCAAAUAGCCAAGGUCGUCCUAAGAUGAUGUGUCCGACGUCCAUCGAAAUAACGUCACACCAUAUAUGGUCCUUAUAUUCCAGGAACUGGAUAGGGACUAAACAACGCUCCUUAACAGCUAUAGAGGAGGUGUCAACCCAAGAGACACUAUAAGGUUGGGGGUGAGGAACUGGCUUCAACCCUAGACGGGAUAUAGUAGCCUUCGAAACCGUAUUAAUACAACUGCCACUAUCCACGAUAACUUUACAGCCCUUGUUACUAAUCUUGAUGUAAGUGUGGAAGAUGGCAUGACGGCGCCAAUCGUCGGCAUCCUUAGGCUGGGUGAGGGUGCAACGGACGACACCGACUCUGGGUGUAUGUGGGAUAAUGGGACUAGCCUGAAUACAACCUAAGAAGGUAUCCUCACUGUCCUCCAAGUCUUCAAACUCUUCUAACUUAGGCUCAUAAACCUGAUCCUCUAGUGGUUCGACGACUAUAUCCUCACGUUCGUCCAGAACUAGGGCUCGACUAGGGCACUUAGAAGUAAUGUGACCAAAACCCUUACAGUUGAAGCAUUGCAAAUGGGAGGAUGUCCUUGAAACCUCAGAACCUCUACCUUUGCUAUCCGAUGCAGGGGUAGUAUUAGAGGGAGGAGGACCUAGAAUAGACUUAGGGGAUGGCGUGGAUGCAGAUGAGGUUGUAGUGCGGGAGUCACUACGAUUUCUAUNNNNNNNNNNNNNNNNNNAUCCCGAACGAAAGAGUAGGCGUGGUCGAGAGUGGUGACACCCCUAAGGACAAGCUCGCGCCUAAGUUCGUCUCUUAAGCCUUGCCUAAACCUACUCAAAGUCAUAACUUCAUCCUCAACAACCUGACAUUUCAUUCGAAACUCAUCAAACUGAGCAACAUAUUCGGUCACGGGUCGAUUGCCUUGUGUAAGUGCGUUCCAUUGAUCCAGCAAGUUACCCCUAUAAGAUUGGGGUAAAUANNNNNNNNNNNNNNNNNNNNNNNNNNNNNNNNNNNNNNNNNNNNNNNNNNNNNNNNNNNNNNNNNNNNNNNNNNNNNNNNNNNNNNNNNNNNNNNNNNNNNNNNNNNNNNNNNNNNNNNNNNNNNNNNNNNNNNNNNNNNNNNNNNNNNNNNNNNNNNNNNNNNNNNNNNNNNNNNNNNNNNNNNNNNNNNNNNNNNNNNNNNNNNNNNNNNNNNNNNNNNNNNNNNNNNNNNNNNNNNNNNNNNNNNNNNNNNNNNNNNNNNNNNNNNNNNNNNNNNNNNNNNNNNNNNNNNNNNNNNNNNNNNNNNNNNNNNNNNNNNNNNNNNNNNNNNNNNNNNNNNNNNNNNNNNNNNNNNNNNNNNNNNNNNNNNNNNNNNNNNNNNNNNNNNNNNNNNNNNNNNNNNNNNNNNNNNNNNNNNNNNNNNNNNNNNNNNNNNNNNNNNNNNNNNNNNNNNNNNNNNNNNNNNNNNNNNNNNNNNNNNNNNNNNNNNNNNNNNNNNNNNNNNNNNNNNNNNNNNNNNNNNNNNNNNNNNNNNNNNNNNNNNNNNNNNNNNNNNNNNNNNNNNNNNNNNNNNNNNNNNNNNNNNNNNNNNNNNNNNNNNNNNNNNNNNNNNNNNNNNNNNNNNNNNNNNNNNNNNNNNNNNNNNNNNNNNNNNNNNNNNNNNNNNNNNNNNNNNNNNNNNNNNNNNNNNNNNNNNNNNNNNNNNNNNNNNNNNNNNNNNNNNNNNNNNNNNNNNNNNNNNNNNNNNNNNNNNNNNNNNNNNNNNNNNNNNNNNNNNNNNNNNNNNNNNNNNNNNNNNNNNNNNNNNNNNNNNNNNNNNNUGUGAAAUAUAAUCGAAUAGGUUUAAGGCAGUAUUAUCAAAGGGCUAGUACACAUCAAUGGAAUUUAGUUCGUGAAAUACAAUCAAAUAGGUUGAAGGCAAUAUUAUCAAAUGGCCAGCACACAACGAAUUAAUUGAUGCAAUUCUAAAAUAAAGAAAUAGCGUUAACUAAAAAUAAAUAGGAUUAGGAACUCCCUGAGUACUGUUGGUUUGAGUCGUCCCAGCGUCGAAUGUCUCCACGUUCUGAACUACUAAGCCCUAAGAUGCCAAGAUAGAAAAUUUCGUGCUCGUCGAGGUGCGGUACUGAACAGUCAACUAAAAUGAACCUAUAAAUGAUGUCAGAAAAUUUAAAAUCCACGAUACCUUUUUUUUUUUUUUUUUUUGACUCUCUUUUUUUUUGACUUUUUUUUUUAAUAAUAAUACAAAAUCAGAAUAACAAAAUAAUAAAUGAGCCAAUUUCACAAAUUUGGGCCUAAAUCACACUCAAAACCUUAAACAAGCCCAAGCCCAAGCAAUACAAAUAACCCAACCCACUUAAUUAUUAAAUCAAUUAAUUAAUAAUCCAAUUAACCCAACCCAAUAACUAAGAACCCAACCACUUAAUUAAUAACCCAAUUAACCCCAUAAUUCAUUAUAACAAGUCGCGACUGAAGGCUGCCAAAACCGGCGACUGGACUGGUCGACGAGGAACGUCUCAACGACGUUGGGCUUGGCCGGCGAUUACUGGAGCAGCCGGCAGUUUGCUGGCGACUGUUGGUGGCGGCGAGGCUGGGGUUCCGUUUAGAGGAAAUGAAAAUGGAUGGUUUGGUCGGGUUUGAGGCGGCGAAUGGAGGCUGUAGUGUUCGGGUGUUGAUUAUUGCAUGAUGCCGGAGCCUUUGAAGGUUGAAGAUUAGGCAAUUUUUUUAGACUUUAGCUACCAUUUGACGGUUUAGUUUUUGGGUGUUCAUGGGUAUCAAUUUAUGCAAACGAUAUCAUAUGUACAAAGAUAAGAACGGUUAAGGGAUAAAAAAUUUCACAUCGAAUAAAGAUGAAAAAUACUGACCAAUUUGUAAAAGUUUGGAUUACACCUUUUAUUAAGCUUGACUUUUUAAAAUGAAAUUUCAGGUCGUCAUCCGGUAUAAGAGCCAAUAAAGCUCCGACGAGCAAUUUAUCUGACUAAGACUCAAAAAAUGAGUAUGCAAUAAUUUCAAGAUUGGUUUACUCAAAUGAGUCAUUAUUCUGCGAUCAAAUAAAGAUGAAAAAUAUAGAACAACUUAUAAGAACUUGUACUACUCUUAAUAAGGUUAAUUUUUGAGGAUGGAAUCUUUAAAUCUUAAUAAGAACCCAUUGAUGGAUUCUUCAUUUUUCUUCUCUCUAUGGUUGAUCAACUUGAUCUGUAUAGAAGUAAAAAUGUUCUUCGAUGCUCACUUUUGUUAUGGCAUUUUCACACCUUCGUUUUGUUUUCACUCUUUUGAGGGAGGAACGAAUGACAGGCUGUCCACCAGAUUUAUUUUGUGUUACCUUGAGUUCAUUGUUUUUGUAGUAGUUAGAUUCUUAUGAAAAAGGAACUACGAUAAUUUUAGAACAUCCUUUUCAUUUUCUUUCAUCGAAGGUUUUAAAAGGCACAAGGUCUGAUAAAACGAGGAGGUCAAGCUUUGAUCCUAGACGUAAUAAAACAUUAUCCAAUUUUCAAUAUUAUUUUAAUUAUUUUAGAUCAAUCGAUAAAUAAAUAAUGUAUACCUUAAAAAAAUUUAUACAUUUCAAUAAAAAUAAUCAUAUAUAUAAGUAUAAAAUAAGAGGAAAAAAUUGAAAAUUUUAAGUUAUGAUAGGAGGUUUCUGGAAAUUAAAGCAAAUUUGCUCUGUAUUUUAUAUACUCUUAACUUGAUUAGAAGUUCUUGUAAACAUCAUCAUUUCCACUAUGUUUUUAACAUUCCCAAUUAAUUUACUAGGGCAGCAAGUAAAAACUGUCAAACCAAAUCGAAAUAAUCUUUUUCGAAACCUGUAACAGCUAAAAAUAAUUCAAAAAAAAAAUUAAAAAAAAUACCACUUCUAUAAUUUUUAACAAAAAAUGAAACAAAGGUCACACUAGAAAAAUUCAUUUUUUCAAAUUAAUUUUCAAAUCGCUUUAAUUAAUAGAUAAUUCAUUAAUCUAGUAAGCAUUAUGAGCUAAUGCAGAUUAUUAAAUGGAACACUAGUGCUUAAAUUCAUACUGGUAUAGUCAAUCAUUAAGCUUCAACCAAAUUUUCACAAGAUAAUCCCUAUAUAUAAUGUUUUUACUUUCUUGUCAAUAAACUAGAAAAGCACUUUAUGACUAUUAACAAGUAUAUACAUGGAAAGUGCAUUUUCAAACCAUAACCAAGAAACCUCAUUAAAGAUUUUCAAUCCAUAACAAGUUAUGUACCAGUCCCAAGAACUCCAUAAGAAAACACCCUUUUUCAAUACAAAAAGAAAAACAAACAGCAUUUUCUGCUCAAACACCCAUAAAUAGCCGGCACUGCGACUCCCAGUGCUCCUUCGUUUGCUGUAUUCUCUCCGUUUUAUCAAUUUUGCGACGUUCCACCCAAUACUCGGGGCAGCUGUUUUAAACAUAGCACGAGUGAGUUACACAGUACCCAACCAUACAUGAAAAUGUAUGCACACAACUUGUUAUAUGUUUGGUAUAUAGUACUAGACUGGAUAAUGUAUAAUACAAAAGAUUUUAGCUGCCAGUGUUGUACAGUGAUCCCUACCAGACAUGGCAUCAGAAUAUAAGUUACCUUCGGUUCAAUAGAACAUGUAGCUCCUCUAAAUGUACAGCACCUUCAUAUACCCCUGCCUGAAAUUAAUCGAUAGAAGAUUAUGGAACAAUGAAGUGUUUGUUCAGAGAAGAUAUAAAAGACGAUCUGGUACUACUCAUUCAAACAUAUUAGGACUCUAUUGGAACAACAAACCCAAGCCUCUUUCACGGUUUAUACCAUAUACGAGGGUUCAGUCAUCUUAGUGAAAGUCCUACUUUGUAUUAUUCAGAUGUAUUAAAAUUUACAUGUAAAAUUCCAGCCAGGCAAGGACUGAAAGAUGAAGAACUCACCUCUCGGCAUAUGGGACAUUUUUCUUUAGGAUGUGCUUCCUUCAACCCAUCCACUAUGGUCACGGAUGCAGCUUUGCACGCACACAUGCAGCAGAAGAUAUGACCACAAGUAAGAGAUACUGGAUCAAAUACUGUAUCCUGUUAGAAACACAUUAAGCUCGACUAAGAGAGAGGUGUCAUAAACAGAUGAUAAAUUUGAGAUUCUACAUCAACAGUCUAGAACAAAGACAAAAAUGCAUGCUCAUCUAUUUCCUUAUCUGUUUCUGAACAAGAAUUCAAAUUGGAAACUUAAAGUAACUGAACAAAAAGCAAACAUGGUCAACCAGUUACAUCUGAAAGUAAAAUCUAGACUAAAAUGCAUGUGUAUUUUUCCUUGUGCAAAUGUAAAAGCUGUUCCCAUAUCUUUGUGAAGAUCAAAUAUUAGUGUUAUAUCAUUCUACUCAUCUACAAAGAUGCAUCACUUGCAAAAUUUUCAGUUCUUUUGAGGAAUUCUUCAAAAUUCUUGGCAUAUAAUGUUCUUUGAAGCAUCAGUUUAGGGGGCGUAAGGGAGCCAUUCCACCAGCAGGACAGUCCGGGACAACGUUCUGAGGCCCAUGGGCCACGGUCCACAUGGACCUGUCGACUGGCAAAGAAUAGGCCUUUGGGGUUAUUAUCUUUUUUUUCUCUUCUCAAGUUCACUGUGCAAUCUUGUAUUUCUUUCGAAACUUAAUAUAACCCUUGAAUAAUUUUCUCUCCUCGACAGGCCACCACAUAAAGCUUGUAUGGACCACCGACAAUAUAACCUCAUUUAGCUAUUAUUGAUAGAGUUUGUUAAUGUUUACACGAUAGACUCAUACCACCUAGCAUCAGUGUAAAACCAAAACAAUUGUGCAUUCAAGUGAUACAGAUUAAAAGAUGGGGCACCUGACCCCAAAAUAAAAGGAACGAAGAAAAUAAAACCAUGUGACUAGCAGUACUUUAGGGCAAGAUAGGGGCACUAACCAAACAUAUAGAACAAGUCAAGUCAAUGUCGAGCUUGAUUGAAUCAAAGAGAUCACAAGAGAGAGAUGGUUUUCCAUCAUUCAGUAUGAGAGAACACCCUUCAAAAAAUGCAGGAACCUUUUUUGCAUACGAAUUAGUCUCUCUCAAGUUUAUGUGAAAAGCCAUAAGCUCACACAGCCAUGGAGAUUGAAGGAUCUCAAUACGCUUACUUUGGGCUUGAGACUUGAAUGCUAGACCUUGCUUAGAGCAGUGAAUCUAUAUUCAAAAAAGACAAUUUUUAAUGAUGUGUAAUGAAUGGAGAGUAUUUUGUGCUUGUGCUCGACCUAGAGUAUUAACAAGAGUACCUUAUCAUAUUUCUUCAGUAUUUUACGCAUAGCAACGGCGUUAAUGAGAGCAUAUGUGACCAGGUCCCGGCCUUCUUGAACCAGUGCUGCGUGAUUUCCAUGUGAUUUACCCUUCAACCAGAUAAAGAACCCGCGAAAACCUGAUGCCAGGUGCACCUCAAGCAAUCUCUGCGCGCGUUGGUUGAAGGAGCCAACCACAUCAGACAUUUCCUUACAAAGUGAAGAGAAAAAGGUCCCAUCGCAGACUGAAAAAUAGACAAGAAUCUAAAUCAAAAUAAUGAGGAGGGCAUCGUAUGAAUUAGAUGCUUCAAGUCAAAUUCGGAUUAAUGUUUACUGCAACUCGGAAAUUUUAUAGGUUACUGAACAAGGGAUUCAACAAGGCUUCAAGAUUAAACAGUGGCAUACAAAGGAGUGAAGGAUUAUAUACAAGUACCAGCAAAAGUGUCCAUUUUCUGUCGUGCUUUCUAUAUUGCCUGCAAUUAUACACAGAUUUGCUCCCAACUAAGAACCGCAUACUAAUGAAGUUUAUCAUAAGAAACCCCCCACCCGUUCUUCCAGUUUCCGUACUGGAUUUUUCCAUUUCGGAAACUCAAACAUGUAGUUCUUUCUCUACUAACUUUGCAGUUUGUGAAAAGGUGGUCUUUAUUUGGAACGGAGUGAGCUCUAUUUUAUUUAUUUAAUUUUUGAAUUUUGAUGUAGCAAAAUUGGAUUAUGAAUUACUCGACAGAAUCCUAUGGAAAUAAAUUAGAAAUAAAACUUCUUUUGAUCAUCAUGCAAGAUUUUCUUCUUUUAAGGAUAUGUCCAAUAUCAAUCAACCUGAAAAUCCUAAUCUUGAACAAUAUUCAUCAUCCAAGCUUCUCGAGUGUUUGAAGAAAUAGCUAGAAAUCAAUGACGACUCUCUUCACAAAGAUUUAAAUAUCGGCAGCCCCUUAAUUUGGCCAGAACUACAUUACCAGAAUAAUUUGUUGGAAAAAUCGAAAUCUCAAGACUUUUCAUACAAUGGAAAUACCAGAAACAAAAGCCACCCACACGGAAGAAUCAAGAAUUCAAGACCCAAUAGCAAAUGAUCAUAUUAUCAGUUCUCCAAAAGCCAAAAACAUGAAAAUCAGAUUGGCAUAUAUAUAAUUUAUAUAGACACAUAGACUAAUAUAUAUAAACACCUGUUAUGGGGAAGGGAACCGCUAUGCCCUGGAUGAAGGAAUUCAAGACUCAAUAAAAUAUAAGCUUAUAAUCACUCCUCCAAAAAUCACGAAAACGGAUAGGCAUGUAUAGAGACAACUGCCUAUGCAUAAAGACCCAAUAACAAAUCAGCAUACAAUAAUUCCUCCAAAAAUCAAAAAUCAUGAAAAUCAGACAGGAAUUUUUAUACAUACACAAGUCUGAAGUGCCUAUACAUAAAGACCUAAUAACAAAUCAGCAUAUCAGCGUAUAAUCACUCCUCCAAAAACCCAAAAUCAUGAAAAUCAGAUGGGAAUAUUUACAUACACGAGUCACUCUAUAUAAGAAUCUGCCAUGAGGAACCCAAUGCAGUAAAUGAAUCAACAAUCAAGACCCUAAAAAAAUCAGCAUAUAACCACUCUCCCAAAGCCCAAAAUCAUCAAAAUCAGAUAUAAAUGCACAAGUGAGUAUAUAAGCACCUGGGCAGUGCUGUGGGCAAGUGGAGGUGUCUUGAGGAAUCCCCACACCAUGUGAAUGAACCUCUUUCCUGCAUCUUUUCAAGAUUUUUUUGAGCUUUUUGAAACCAACCUCAGGCAGUUUCUCGUGCCUCUGCCCUUGCAUGUACUCUUCAUAUUUCUUGCAAAACUUCAUUUUUCUAUAUUCCUUCCCCUCAUAACACACAACUCUCUCAAAAACCUCCUUUUUUUCACCGAUAAUGAAAACCCUUGAGAUUCGGUGUGUGAAUACGAUUUGUAUUUCUUUAUAUAUCUCCCAGAACGGCAAUCUCUCUCCUCUCACCGGUCAAAUACGGCUUAAAUGGCACCUGAUGCUGAUGACACGUCUAAAGCGUAAGCCAGAAAAAGUCAUUUUAUGUUGCUUUCUAGAGAAGUUCACGGCAAAUGGUUUGUAGUUGAGCGUUUAGUAUAUGUUUGGUUUGCAUUAAAAUUUGAUUUUGAUUUUUAAGUCAAAAUCAAACAAUUCAUAUUAAUAUUAUUUAUGGAUCUCAUAAUUUUUUAAUCACAUGUUUCAAAAACUUUUACCUCAAUUUACUAAAAAAUCUAAUUUUAAUCCCACAAAAUAUCUUAUUAGUAAUAAAUUGGAAUUUUCUCAUAAUACAAAGCUUUUGUGGAUGCGUUUAGACUAACCUUAUUUGUCAUCAUCGAUUCAAUUUAGCUACUUUAUCAGAAUUUUUUUGAUAUAAUGGUUGACAUCUUCUCAAAAAUACGUGGGCCACGCAUGAAUAAAAAAGUUCAAUAAAGAAGUGGGCCAUGCGCAAGUGAGUAUCUGUCAUCCAUUAUGUCAAUAAAUUCUGCCACCAUAGCAUUGUUGUUAGUGAUUACAAUAGUGUAAUGAUGAUUCUCAUUGAUAAUAAAUACCAUAUGUUCGUGCCUAACAAUGGAAAAUUGCCCAUUGGAGUUUAAUGGGUACUAAUUAUAAAAUGUUCUUUAAAAAAUCGAUUUUGAGUAGUAUUAGUAACAAUUUUUGAAAUUGUCCAAACUUUAUUUGAGAGUUAAUUAUCCACCGAUUUUAAAGCAAAUUUAAAAUUAAAAUUACAUAUAUGUCCCUUGAUGACAAUUAUAAUUUUUAGUUUUUUGUAUGAAAUUUUUUACUCACAAGUGAUAUUUUACUUAUAAGUACUUUUUUUACAUAUAAAAUUAAUAUUAUAACUUUAAAAAUUAAAUAAAGUCAAAUAUUUACUUAAAAUUUUAGGUUAGUAUUUUUUUCCACGUAAAAGUAAAUUUUAUACAUUUAAGUAAUUUUAAUUGAAUCUUUUUUUUACUUUUAAGUAACUUUUUAUAUUUUAUAAGUGAAUUUUUUAUCAUAUUAGUAGUAUUUUUACUUUACCAACAUUUCUUUAUUUAUAAGUAAUUUUUUAAUUAUAAUAAAUUUUUUUAACUUAAGAAAAUAUGAGAAAAUGUCAAAACCCGUCAAUUUGGUGGCUUGAGAGAAUCGGUUAAAGGCCAUAUUGAUACUAAUUUAAAUCAUAUUUUAAUCAAAGUCAAAGUCAAACAAUUAAUUUUAACCAUAUAUUUCAUGGGUUCCAUAAUUUUUCAACCACACAUUUCAAAACUUUUAUCAAAAUCUACUAAAAAUCUAAUUUUAAUUUUCAUCAAAUAAGGGCAAAAUUAAUUACAUUGGUUUUGAAAGAUUUUAGACCAUCUGAAGCUGAGCCCAAAAAAAUUAGUAAACAUCUAUAUUUUUUUAUUGCAUUUUAUAUUAAUUUUGUCCGAAACAAAGUUAAUAUUUUCCAAUUUUCAUCGUCAAGUUGUAAAAUGAAACAAAGAAGGUCGCAUCUUUUAAUAUAAAUUUCAAUGUUGUUGUUGCCAACUAUUUUUUAUUGCAUUUUAUAUUAAUUUUGUCCGAAACAAAGUUAAUAUUUUCCAAUUUUCAUCGUCAAGUUGUAAAAUGAAACAAAGAAGGUCGCAUCUUUUAAUAUAAAUUUUAAUGUUGUUGUUCGAAAAAAAUGAAUAAAUUAGAAACUGUUCUCUUCAACCAUCAUGGAAUAUUCAAUAAUCAACAUUAGGGAUAUAUUUUGAAUUUGAGAGGAAAAUACGACUUUCUUUACCUAUUGGAUUUUACUUUAUAUUUAUGUGGGUUGACUUUGUAUUUUGAAUUGAAAAAUGCUUUUUAUUUUUUUGUUUGGGGAAAAUAUAUGGUUAUGAAGUAAGAAAAAUUCAUGAAUUUCUUAUAAUGGGUGAUUGAAAAUGAUUUUGAAGAAAAAUAAUUUUAAACAAACAAACACUUAUAUUGUAUUCAUCUUUAUAAUUUUCGCUCAUGAACCUUUACCAAGCUAUUGACCUUUUGAUGGAACAAAUUUUAAUUAGAACAGAAUGAAAUAACAAAAUAUAUUUCAUAUUAUCAGCUUUAAAUUUAUAGAAAUCAAGUCUGAUUUUGUUGGAUUAGUUUUUUCUAAAUCUUUUUUUAAGGAAAAAAAAAGGAAUAAUGUGGUAAAAGAAUCGUUGGCUGAUCAUGCCUAGUUUGUUUCUAAUUCUUUGGCCCAAAAAAUGAAAAAUAUGAUCGUUAUCUAUCACAUCAAGUCACUAUAUUUGACUUUCUCUCUCUUAUGUGGGUUCCGUAAUGGCUAUAUUUUUCAUUCUCAUUCUUAUAAGAAUGAGAAUCAACCGAGGCAGUGUAUAUUUUAAUAUAAUUAUGUAUUAUUAAUUUAUUAUUUCACCAUAAGUGCUGCUGCAAUAAGUAAUCAGAGUCUAUCAACUUAUGUUAGGCUUUUCCACACGUUUCUCUAAAGAAUAUGCUUGCUUUUGGAAGUGCUUGAAUUAAAAUUUCUUAUCUCGUCUAGUGAAUUAAUUUUAUUAGUAUGAAAGAGUCGUCUUUGUAUCGACAACCAAUAAAAGGGUUAAAGUUUUAUCCUACUUCGACUUUAUUUUUAUAUUAAAAAGUAGUGGGAACUUUAAAGUGUUUCAGUUAUAUUUCCAACAAUUUGAUCGAAUUGAGUAUUUAAGAUAUUGAUAUCAUAAAUAUAUUCACAUAAAGGAUAUAACAUAUUUUAAUCAAGAAUCACGUGAAAUAUAUAUAAAUUAGAAAAAAGAAAAUUAUUUGUUAAAAAGUUAUCGGUGAUGAAAACGCGCAAAAGAAUGAAAAGGUUGGGACCGCUUGCUGCUCAGCCAUCUUUCAACUAGCUUCUCAUGAACUGAACAUAAACUAUCGACAAAUCGCGCAUGCCAAUUGGCACCCUAAUUCUUGACCAAUGAUAUAAUGUUAAAAUUGCGCAUUUUCUAUCAUUACAUCUUACUACAUGAGUUGAUAUCCAUAAUUGCACAAAUUUAAAGAGAAUUAUUACGGGACUGUAUUUUACGAUCUCUCCAUCUAUUUUACAUCUUGUCAGAUGUCUAUCCAGUUGAUCAAUUGCAUGAAUACUCAACAUAGUUUUUUUCCCCCAACGUUAUAUUCUUGAAAGAAACUAUUGCUUUCAACCAUCGAUAGUAGUAUUAUUAAAAUCAAAGCCACCACGAGCACUUAUUGAACAAAAAUAAUGACCCAAAAAAUGAGUACUAAAAUGGACGAUGGAGAGGCUUGUUGGGUUGUUGAAAAGGCUCAUCAAAGUGUGUGUCUCUGUGUAAAAUUUUAUAGACUUCAUGAUGGCAAUUUCAGUGUAGGAAGAAAAUUAUCCAACAAGAAGGUUAGUGGAACCAUUUGUGGUGUAAUACUCAACUGAUAAUUAUUCAAACCUUAUAAAGAAAGAUCAAUAUUCAAUUUCCAUUUGAUAAUAGAUAACACAUCACUUUAAAAUUUUGACUUCGAAACAGGGUUUCCACUUAAAAUAAAUAAUAUAUAUUUGAUACAUCGAGUUAAAUAUGAAUACAUAAUUUUUUAUUAUCUUUAAUUGGCUAGCAAUAUCUAAUUUGCAUUACUAGAUAAGCCAAUAGACUAUAAGCUACGCGAAUCUUAUUUUUUCAGAUAAUACUUGAACGUGUUGACAAUUCUUUCAAAAGCACUUGUCACAAUAGUCCAUUUGAAAUAUAUCACUUGGUUUUUUAUGACAUGAAUAUCAAUUUUAUGUUCGAGAUAAGCCUCUGCUACCCUUUCCCUUUCUUGCUUGGGUAGCUCAUUGAGAGGUCUCAACGAGCUACUCGGGAGUCGGGACCCCAAGAACUCUCGACUCGGAGAUGGUUAGAGGGGAUGGAAGAAAGAUGGAACAUAGGAAUGUAAAAAAGGUUCGAUAUUUUUCUAAGAUUCUUCCACUUUCUACUAGUCAAGAAACUAUGAGGAGUCUCAUAAAAAACAACACUGCGUGUAGCAGAGACCAGAAUAUGAAGUUUGAUAAUACGUUCACCUUUCAGAUAAGUGUUAAGUAGUACAUAAGAUGAAUUAAAACAUAACAAUGCUCAACUUCUGCUUCAAAGGGGAAUAUGAACUAAAAUUUACUGAGAGUAUUGGUAUCUCAUAGGAACAGAUGUGCCUUUUCCAACAUCAAUAAUUGAAUUUGACAUGGUUUUCCCCUUCAAAAAACUGGCAUACCAGCGCGCUGAAAGCUUUUGAUAUCUUUUCAGGUCUUUGUCAUCCAAAUCUACGUAGUAAAAGCCGAAGGAAAGCGUAUAGCCAACCGUUAACUCGAGACAGUCUAAGAAGGUCCAUGCAAAGUACCCUUUUACGUUUGAUCCAUUCCUUCAAGUAUUCCAGAAUGAAAAUUGAGAAUAAGAGAAACCACAAUCAGAGGCACAAAAAUCUUACCAGAAUCAACUUGAUAUUUACUCUUUUAAAUCAAUUAUAAAAAAAUAUCCGGAUAGUUGUAUAUGUGAGUUCAAAGAACUUGAAGCAGAGCAGCACUUAGCAAGUUACAAGAACAAAGUGCCGGCACUCGGUAAAGAUACCGGCAGUGGGGGGAAGAUAUUGAAGUUUACAAACACGGAUACAGAGAUUAUAAAGAUGGAAGUUUGUAAAGGUCAGGGAACAAUUAGUUUUGCUUAGACAGUUGGCGCCCCUUGUAUUAAUCACCUUAUUUAAAAGCUUAAACCGUUGAAAGAAAACACAUUUAUUCAUUCAAAGUUUUCAAAUUCAACCUUAAAUGGAAAAAAACUAGAAGAAUAAAAGAUCUCGUGAAAUUCUUCUUGUCCUGUAUUUCACGAAUCUAACAUGGAAUCGAAAAGGCUCACCUCAGAGCAUCAAGCAAGCUCCCAAUGUAAGCAUGAUAAUAUUCAACCCUUGGUGUGUCAUUUAGUGUUCCAUUGCGACGCAUCAUCUGACCUGCAAAAGCAAUUCAAACCAGGAUUUUCCUUACUAAAUUGUCUAAUCUGGUUAAAAUCAAAAAGCUUUUUUAAAAAAAAAAAAGUAGAACUCCAGCACAUCAAUUUUGUUCAAUCAGAAAAUAGUAUGGAAUGGAAGCCUACUAAAUAAGGAACAACGCAAUCUACUUCAAUCGUUGCUGAUUUCUCCACACAUAAAUAUCGUUUAAAGGUUGCUAAUUAACAUACUCCCUGCUCCCUAGUGUGGGAGGUAAUUAACAUUACCCAUUGAGAGAAACCACAGGGGAGUGAAAAUGCACUAUCCGUUACUAAAACAUUAAGAUAAAAGUAAAAGAGCUUAGGUUGACGAGUGAUAAGUGUGUUUUUGCACACUUAUUUACAUCACAAACAUGACUUAAAUACAAGUAAAAUGAUUGAAUUGUUACUUAACUUCGUCAAAUUCAUGUAAUGUAGGAAAUUCUAUGGAAAUAGUGGAAUUCAGGAGAAAAGAGCCGAAAAAGGACCAAAUUGGAGCAAAAUGAAAAUUCAGGGACCAAAUUGCAAUUAUCUGAAAGUUGACCCGAUGAACACAUCAAGCAAUUGAUCAAGCCAAGCACCAGCACACACUGUGUUGACAUGUGUUUAUGUGUUAGUGCGCGCACGUAUAUGUGUGUGUGUAUAUAUAUAUAUAUAUAGAGAGAGAGAGAGAGAACCAUUUUCAUGGAUAUAAACAGGCUGAUUUCCAUAAACUUGUUUUAGAUACUCCAGCACUCCAUAGAGACCCGAAGGCAGCACGGGAUACUUAGCAACACAAAAAAAUUAAAUUUUUAGAGUCAAUUAUUGAUAUAAAGAACAAAUAGACAUCGUAAAGUUAUUUAGAAUCACCUGAUCUUGUGACGCGUCACCCUGUUGGUCUACAGCAGCCCGAAAACAAGACAGGUUUAGUAAAUAUAGAAUAACAAUAGCACUAGUCUUUAUCACUCUCAACAAUCCCACGCAAGCAGCAACAUUUUCUUAAGGAAAGAAUACUAGUGGAAGCUAAAAUUAAACAGGUAGAACAAUAAGCUUUAACAACACGUGAAAAAAAUGAUGUGGCAAUUAAACCAGUUAAUAAAUUCAAAUUGAUUCCACAACUGGUAAUUCUGCAUUAACAAGUUUGUAUUCAAUAAAGCAUGGAAGUCAUACUUAUUAUCUGUGCAGCCAAGUCAGCAGAAAAUCCACUGCCGUCCGUUUCAAGGAUGCUGGGAUCAUCCUUGACGAACGCUUUUGUGUAGUGGUUCACUCCUAUGAAGUCAACUGAACCCUUAAUCUGCUCGGAUUCAAGUUUGGUGAAGGUUGGAAUUCUUGUUUGGGCAUGUUUCUUCACUGUUUCAGGAUAAUCUCCCAAAAUAAGGGGAUCAAUAAACCUGCAGUACACAUUGAACAUUAAACUCGGCAUGUCCAUGAGUGAAAACUUUCUCGACUCCCAAAUCAGCUUAUUGUUAGACUUUUCUAGCUAAUUAUUGGACCAUCCGACAUACGGGAGGAAUUGGAUAGUAAAUUUAGUAACUAUUCAGAGUUUCAACUUACCACCCAAUAAAAAAUUCUUUAGCUCUUUGAGAAACAACGAGCAUUUCUAGACAGUGGUAAUAAUCAAUAAACAGUCCAAGAUCCACUUUCUCAAGAUACACCGUCUCUAGUUAGUUACCUGACAUCGGUUUGUUCAAUACAUAGUAUAGAUGUUAAAUCCCACGUAACCUUUUUGGAUGGCCUGUAUUUGAACACAUUAUUUCCAAAAUACACAUAAGCAUAAAUGCUGAGACACUCUUGAACACAUAUGCCUCUUUUGUUACAUUUCUCAUAUUGAUUACCAAGUUUUUGAAAACAAAAUAUAUGCUGAGAAUUUAGAAACAAAUCCAUGCAAAUGCGAGGAAUUGACUAAUCAAAGUUAGUGGACAAACUAAUCAAUAACAAAUAAAGAUUUAUUAAACAGAACUAUCGAAAGCAUGAAUGAUACCUUGUAUUUGGCCCUAUACAGUCUCACAACAGCUGAAUGUGCCAGCAAGAUAUUAUGCCCCACAAUGUAUGUUUCAUUUGAGGAAUUACCCCAAGAGCACCUUGUUCUGUCUGAACAGCGCCCCGGGGCAAUGAUACCUUGCUCAUAUCCAGCCACGGCUAAAAUAUUGGCCUCGUUAACAGUAGUCCAGUACAAAACCCUGUUACCAAAUUCCCUGAAGCACACAUCUGCAUAUGCUGUGAAGUCCUUCCUGAGUCACAAACAACCCAAGUUUCAUUUAUAUCUAUAUGACAAGAAUGUAAAAGUAGCAAAAGAUGAACACAUAUUACAACUAUGUUGUUAAAAAACAUACACAAUCUUCCUACUAAGCCAUCCUCCAUACUCGUCUUCGAGUGCUUGUGGUAGAUCAAAAUGAGUUAAUGUAAUAUGUGGUUGAAUUCCUGUAUGAUCACAAAUAUUUUAACUUGGAUGCAGUGAGAGACAAAUCUCUGAAGGACAAUAGGACAGAAUGCAUUUCCUAUAAGGAAGAACAUAACAUUUGUAAGAAAUUUCAUAAUCACCAUGGCUUCUGAGUUUGUCGAUAAGAUUGUUGUAGUAAUGUAACCCCUUUUGGUUGAUAGGUCCUCUUCCAUCUGAAAAGACAGUAGACCAUGUGAGUAAAAGAAAAAGAUGCUUUUUUCUUUGAACACGGCAUGAUGCAGGUGAACAUACUAGGAAUAAGUCUUGACCAUGAUAUGGAGAUUCUUAAGGCCUCCAAAUUUGUCUCAACCAUCAGUUGGAUAUCAUCCUGCAUGAUGAGGUAUAAUUCCCAUGGUGGAUGUUCAAUAACUAUGUGAACAAUGAUCAAAAGACAACCAUGAUACGAUCCAGAUAUUUCCCAGUCUUCGAUCGGGAAAGAAGAAAAAUAUGUUCCAUGCACUCAAAAGGUUUUUCUUAUAUGAAUGGAAGAGAGUUCAACUCUAAACACCUUCACUAAAUACACUAAAUAAUAGAGAAGUACCCCGUGCAUCCCACCUCGGAAAACAUAAAAGUUUAAUGCAAAGACCAAAGAAAUUCCCGAAUCUGCUAGUAAUGGAGCAAAAGAUGGUGUAGCUAAACAUGCCUAUAGGACUCUUGGCUAAAUUACUAAUGGUAAUCAAAUCUUCAGGUUCAUGGAAUAAUGUCCAUACAAGUGUGCAAUUGUUGCUUGAAGGGAAAGAAAACAACGAAAGGGAAAGAAAUAUAUGUUAAAUUAGAGUUUCAGCCGUGUGUAGACCUUGUAUUUGUGAUAUCCAUCACAUGCUAUGUCUCCAUUGGCUCCAUUUGUAUUUUGACCUGAAAAUUUUAAAUGGGAGGAUAUAUUCAAUACAGUGACAUUCAGAUCAAUGAUUUACAUCAUAGAAUCUACUCCACUAUUAGCAGCUCUACGCACUAGAAUCUGAGAACAGACCAUUUCAUUCAUUAAUUAUGAAAAAGAAGCCUUCUAUACUUCUAUAAAAAAAUAAAAAAUAAAAUGAAAGAAAACCCCGUGCCUUUUGCCAUUACAAGGAGUUUUUCCUCUUGUUUGUGUAGAGUGGCAUUUUCAUAAUAACGAAUUGAAGAGCUAUUAUCACCUGAUGUCAGGAAUAGGUAACUAAAAUUUAUUUCUUUUGUUUGCAAUGAUAGAAAAAUUUUGUGGAAAAGAAAAACCACUCCAUAGCCACUAAUAAGUUAUUAGAAUGCAGAUUAAGGCAGUAACAUUUAUGAAACACUUUUGGCCCAAAAACAUCAUGACAUAUGUGCCUUAAAAUUUAUAAUUAUCAGAUCAUUUUGAUCAACACUGAAUCCUCUUCAAUGAUGCAACAUAUUCUUCCAUUAGAAUAUUUGCUAAACACUUGAACCAUUUUUAGUUAUCGAACUGGUGCAGCAGCUUUUCUGCCAGAUUUUUAUUUUCUUCAACGAUAUCCUGUCUCUGCACAACGUGUUUGAUGAGCUUUAUGGGCAGAUGAUACACUCUUUUUUUUAUAUGAACCAGCUCCAUAUUAACUGUUACGUCUUAUUUCUUAUUGGUUCAUUCUUAGUAGGGAAAUUUAGCUGGAACAGGAGUCAAACUUUACCAAAAUUACAUUGUGAACAAGAAGAGGAGCAAAAUGAGUUCGAAAAAGGCAUUUGCAAAAUAGAAUUAUGCACAUGAAGUCAAUGUCAGUCAACUUGUUUAUGUACUGUAGAAAAUAAAGGCCUAGAAGUAUAAAGAGAAGAACUAGAGACGAGUACAGACCAGAAUGUGCAAAUGUGUCCCAAAUGCUAGGAGUCCUCCCAUCCUCAGACGCUGCGCCUUCAUACUUUUGAUAGAAUGACAAAGAAAUAUUCAUCAAUUUUAUUCAGGCAAAGUUUCAGAUGGGAAGUAGAAUACUGAUCCAGUGAAAACAGAUUGUUAUAGAUAAUCAUUAAAUACGAACGCAAAAGUAUAAUUUUCAAUGUUCCUACUAAUUAAGCUAAUAUUUUUAGUUCCCUGGUAAUUUGAGGUUACUAUGCUGGAGACACAAUGAAAUAAGGCCCUCUUUUUCAAAAUUGCAUAAACAAAUAAUUUCUUUUUAUUGUUAGAAUCCGAAUAUACUUGUUUCUUCUUUUACACUGCCUACUUCUUCGUCACCAUCACCAGUUUUCUUAUCCACAUCCCUGCUACCCAUGCCACCAUCCCCCAUUCCCCCCUACUCCUGCCUACCAGCUCACUCUUCCAAUUUGCAUUUCCGGUAUUAAGACUAGGCGUACCAUCUUCUAACAUAAGUAGCCUAAGUCUUUAAAUAUUGGCUAUAGUCAGUGUUUUAAAAAGCAUAAUACAUGUCUAGUCGUGGAAGCGAAGCUUCAAGCUUUACGAGCUCAAGCGAGCUUAGAAGAGGCCUAGGUGUAAAAAAUUGUUUUCUUAUUUUAAAUAUUAUUUUUAUUUUUUAAAGUAAUUUAAUAAUUAAAAUAAUACAUAUCAAAGAUCUAGAAUUAUGAAAUAUACUAUAUUUACUUAAUAAUUCCUAUGUUAGUCAAUUAUUCAAUUUUACUGAGUCUAAAAUUACUUCUUUUUUUCUUUUUCCUUUUGAGUGCAAGAAAAAGCUUCAUAAGUACGCCAAAGACUCAGAAAAAUUUGCAUGUAAUAUAGGUUUAAUCAGUUUCCCCAACCAAUUAUUCCAACAAUCAUAAUCAUUUCACAGAAUAUUAAGAAUAAACAAACUGGAAAAAAUAUAAAUAAAUAAAGAGCUACUAACUUGAUAAGCAGAAGUUCCAGAACCAAAAACAAAGUCAGCCGGAAAAUCCGUUCUGCUGUAAUGAUCAACGCCGUGAACCGGCACCGGUAAAUGCAACGCCAGAAAUAGCAAACCAAUAUACAAGCUAAUUUCACUCAUAUUCUUCCAAUCGCUUGGAUCAAUUUCUUCCAUUUUUAGACAUAAAUACUCCACAGCAACCUACCAAUCAAAGUUCUUUACAUAACUUUCAUUGGGUUCAACCUUUUUAAUAACUCAGUUAUUUGUCAUAUCAAAUAGGGUUUUCACCAAACAUGCACCGCCACGUAACGAAUAAUAUCCCAAUCUCGAAAGUUUGUUCUUUCUGAAAAAUUGUGUUCAUCGUCCCUAUUUUAUUGUUCAAGUAAUAAAUUUGUCCCCUGUCAUGAGAUUUCCCACAACGACAGCUUAACUUGCAUAUAUACUCUAGUCACUAUAGCCAAGCACAAAAAACAGACCAUAGUUGCCAAGCAUUAUUUUUUACCUAAAAUAAUAUAUUUUCUUUGUCUUGAUUUUGUUGUCUUUUGGAAAAUGUUAUCGUCGGCAGUUUAUUCCGCUAAAUUUUUAUCUCGAAUGCUAUUUCAAGUCAUAAAAAAUGUCAUACUCAACUUGGAAUAACAUAUGCAAUACUUAAAUUAAUAAAUAACUUAUAUUUGUUAUAUAAUGACUUGAUCAAGUAUAUAUAGAUUUUUUUUACCCUUUUUUUAUGUAUUAGGUAUAAGGUCCAAUUUAAAGAACAUAUCUAAACAAAAGAAUGAACGAAAACAAACAUCAAAAGUUGGAAUAAGUGAACAGAUGCUGAGAUCCAUGCCUAGAAUAUAUUAUAUUAUAGAAAGCCAAUUGAAUAUGCAAGUUAUAGCUCACAGUUUGGAUUUUUAUAUCAACAGAUAUAUAUAUUUUACUCCGAUGGUUGGAAAAGUGCCACAAAUUAAUGUGGGUAUUUGUGAUCACGAGAAGGCCAAGGAAUAAACCAUACUCAAUACAAUUUGCAAGCUAAAACUUUGCGGCUGUGAGAUGAGGUUUCUGAGUUGAGUCUGAGCCCGAGUCUGAUUGAUGAAUUGAGGGUAUUUGGGGUUAGUAUUGAUUGAAAAAGAGAAAUACUUCUACUUAUAAAUACCCUCGAAUGGAAGUCAUUAAAGGAGGACAAUCUUGCUCUUGAACAUUCAUUCGAAGGGUAAAUUGCAAAUGGGAUUUGAAACCUUUCACAAAAGUGCUGCAAGUCCCAAAACGUUUUAUAUUUGACAUCACAAGUCCAAACAUUUGCAAAAAUAGGCAACGCAAGGAGUUUUGAAUAGAUUUUGCUCAAAGGUCCCUUAGUUGGCCAAAAAUUAAAGAUAAACCUUCAUUUAACUAUUAUUUAGAAGAAAUGGUCCCUAUAUAUUUUUCCAAUUAAAAUUUUUUAAAUGAUUAAGAAAUGAAAAAAUGUAUAUAUCUACAUCUACACUAUCUUAAAAGAGAGAAUGAGACAUUUACUGUUCAUUCUGGUGGAGCCGUUUUCACACUACUGUAGUUGAAUUGUUAGCACUCACUGUAAUCAAUUUGGUUCUAUACUGUUUGCUUAUAAAGUUUUUUAAGGAUAAAUCUACAUGUACAUAAUUUUUUGUACAUAAAGGUGUCCUCCACUCAUAUGAGGUGGGGUCUACCAUAAUAAAAUAUUCGAGUGAACUCCAUCCAUAUGAGUGAAGAACAUCUUUAUGUACAAAAAAUUAUAUACAUUAAGCAAUGUCCUUUUACUAUUUCCCACUUUUCAACCCAAAAUAUCUUUUAUUGGGUCUGCUUUUUGCGAAGAAAAGUCCAAUAAGAGGCAUUAUUGUAUGUACUUGCUUCAACCCUGAUUUUUGUCGGAUGGAGGCUUGGCCCUAGACAAGGAGGGAAUAAUGAAAGAUUCAUCUAACUAUAAUUUUUUAUUUUAUUAUUAUUAUUAUUAUUAUUAUUAUUAUUAUUUUUUUUUUUUAUCAAUUCUAACUCAACUCGAGAUUAUUCAAAAUAACUUUUUUUUUCGAGUUUAAUGUACAUGAUUAAUUAUUAGCUAUCAAAUGAGUCCAAUACUAUUGUGAUAAUAUGGUAUAAUUUGAAAACUAAUAUUAUAAAAUAAGUAUUUUACUUUAAUAAAUUGUAACUACAAUAAUUUAUCCAAAUUUACUUUUUCUGGGGUUUAAAAUGGGUAAUUUAUUACAAGUUUCGAAAUGAGUCCAAUAUUAGUAAGAUAAUUCUUGAUCCUCCAAUAAAUACUCAUUUGAUUCAAGUUUUGUUUAAAAUAUAAAUAUAUUAUUUAAAUAUUUAAUUAUUUUUACGUUUGAAAAAAUUUACAAUUAAGGGCCUUAUUAUAAUAAUGAGUCAUCUAGGCCUAAAAAUUCUCAGAGCCAGCCCUGGCCUGAUGGCUUUGUCAUGAAACACCAUGUUAAAAAAUGUAUUGCUCUGAUACUAUGCUAAGAAAUAUAUGAAUGAUAUUAUACAAUGUAAGGCUGUAUGGAUAUUACAAUAUAAGCUCUUGAAUAUUACAAUGUAGAAGACCAUAUUUAUAUUUUAUAGGGUUACAAAUAACAAUAAAAGGAAAUAAACCUAUAAGGAAAGAUUGCACAAUUAACUACUAAGGUAAAUAAUUCUACACUAAAAGGAAAAAUAUAAUAGAUAAUAUUAUAUACAAUAUUGCUAUAUUUAACACCCUCUCCUCAAACUCAAUAUGGUGUAAAAUAUUGAGUUUGAAGAAAUCGAUCCAAUCAAAUUUUCCAUGUUGAUGAAGAAUGAACUCCAAGUACUUGAGGUCUCAGUCAUUAUUGAAGGAGAUAAGCGUUUUCUUGUUUGCUGGAAAUUGAUGGGACUUUUUUUUUUUUUUUUUGUGUUUGAAAUGAAAAAUAAAUAAGAAAGUGUUUUUCAAAAUAAGAAAACUCCUUUCUUUCUUUUUUUUUUUUCUUUUUUAAGGAGCAAUGGAAGAGCCGGUAAAAUUCAAGGUACCGACCCUAAAAAAAUUUUAACACAAGAAAAUCCCUAAUUUGUUUAAGGGCACGGGAGAGCCAGUAAAACUCAAGGUACCGACCCUCCAAAAUUUUUUAUUUUUAUUUUUAUUUUUAUUUUUUUUACAUAAAAAACCUCUAAUUCGUUUAAGAGGCAGGGAGAGUGUUGAAAAAAAUUCAAGGUACCGACUCUCCAAUUUUUAUUUUUUUUGUUUUGUUUUCAAGAUAAGAAAACCCCUAAUUUGUUUAAGGGGCACGGGAAAAGUCAAUAAAAUUCAGGGUACUGACCCUUUAAAAUUUAUUUUUUUAACAUAAAAAAAUCUCUAAUUUGUUUAAGAGGUAGGGGGAGAGCUAGCAAAGUUCAAGAAAUCGACCCUUCAAAGUUCUUUUUUUUGUUUCAACAUAAAAAAAAAAACCUCUAAUUUGUUUAAGAAGCAAGAGGAGAGUUGAUAAAAAUCAAGGUAAUGACCCUCCAAAGUUUUUUUUUUUUUCUUUCAACAUAAGAAACCCCGGAUUCUAAAGGGGGAAAAAAACAAUAUUUUUUUUAAAUUUCCAAGAAAAGGAAAAAAAACAAUUUUUUAAAACAAUUCUAUAAGAUUAAAAUACUAAAAGAGAGUGGACUCAUAUAGCAUGUGCUAAAUUUUUUUUCAAGAAAUUAGAAUACCAAUAUUUGGGUAUGUUACUACGUUUCAAUCCGUAUAAUUUAUCCAACACCCCACCAGACUGCAUAAACUUGAAGUUGCUCUUUGACAUGGUUUUGGUUCGGGGGCCGUGCUACAGCAAUCGACCCCUUGACAUUACGGCUGUGCUACAACAAUCGACACACAGAAUUCUUUGGGGGCCCUGCAAAAAAUUCUUUGGUUCGUCCUUGAAGAGAGAGUUUGUGUUUUGCAAGUCACCUGAUAUGCUUGUGCUAGUGCUACUGAUUGCUUCAGAAAAGUAAAAGAUUGAGUCAGCAGCUGUCAUGAUUGAAGACUUUUCUUCACCAAUUCCAAAAUAAAAUAUCUUCUCACUAAAAAGCAACAUAAAAUGACAGUCCCCGAGGCAUAACCCAGUGGUACAAAGGAUAGGAGUGAGGUAAUCUCAGCUUUACUGGCAGUCGUAGUAUGAGGGUUUGAUUCCUGAUAUAUGGAAUUGGACUCUUUGUGGGCAUUAAUGUACCGGCAAGAUUUUGUUCCCCGACCUGUUGUGGUACAUCCCGUGAUUUACCUCCCUCACGAUAUUCUAAGGGCGGGGUGGUGGGGCCCUCAAGGUUGGGGUUCAACCUUCUCAGAAUAAUUUUCUUUCUACUUCAACCUGCUCUUCAGCCGGCCACCUUUCUGUGUGUGUAUAUGUUAUGUUUAGGUUUGGAAUAAAAAAAUCAAGGAACCAAAGAAUAAAAGAUUGGCUGGGAAACGUAAUUCAACGAUUGGUUUAUUCAGGUUCGAACCUGCUCUGACACCAUGUUAAGAAAAAUAUUGCUUUGAUAACAUGUUAAGAAAUAUAUAAAUGAUAUUAUACAAUGUAAGCUUGUAUGGAUAUUACAACAUAAGCUCUUGAAUAUUACAAUAUAGAAGAUCUUUUUUUUAGGGUUACAAAUAACAAUAAAAGGAAAUAAACAUAUAAGGAAAGACUACACAACCAACUACUAAGGAAAAAUAAUUCUACACUAAAAGGAAAAAUAUAAUGGAAAAUAUUCCAUACAAUAUUGCUAUAUUUAACACGUUCAGUAGGAAUCUACGAAUUUGUGGCGGGUCUUUGCCUUAAUCAUGUUCUCCUUCCCUUCCAUGUUUCCUGGCAUUCAAGGUUAACUGAUUGAGAUUACAACUUCGAACUUUGAAAAUUUCCUUUUAACUUCGUUGUUUUGUGUUCAGUUUUCCUGAAAAAAAAUGUGUAUUUUUUCAUCAUUAUUUCUAUUUAUACAUAUUUUAAAAUUUUGGACCGCAAUUGUCGAUUGUACCAAAUUCAAAGAGAUGGGAUGGAUUUCAAAGCAAGAUCCAUAUGUUUGUUUUGUUCGAAUAUGCUAGCACCCAAUACCGUCACGUACUUGCACAUGUAUGUUAUAGAUAUACUAGUCGUUGAACGUACAUUGCACGAAUGUUGUAUUUAUUGUGUUUUUAUUAGCGUAAAGAUUGUAGAUUUUUUAGAACUUGAUGAAAAUUCGAAGUAUUUGGCCAAGUCAAUCUUUUGGUUGAUUGCAUUAUUGUAGAUUCUGUGCUUCAUAUGCAUUAUAUUGGAGGAGUUAGAAAACACUUGAAGUGAAAGAUUUAUUAUCAUCAUUCCAAAAAAAAAUUCAACAGUAAACAAGAAAUCUAUACUUAACCUAGUUUGUUGCAUGUGGUGAAAAAUCACAGGCAUGUGUAAAUAUAUUCGGACUUGCUAUAAGCAAAGGCAGAAAGUUUAAUCGAUUAGUUUCAAACCUCAUAAAAGGGAGAUAAGGAACUCAAUCACUUUUUUCCUCUCUCAUUUUCACAGCAACAAAACAAUAUGAAAUGAAUCCCUCUAAAUGAACACCAAAUACUUGACAGGAAAAACAAUGUAAUGCAAUAAACUUAACUCAAUUCCAUACUAAAUUUGAGAAGCCCUCUAAAUGAACAAUUUAGCUGACCUACAAACAAUUUUGUGAAAUAGGCAAGGAACUUUGCUUAUCUACAUAAGAUAAACAGAAUAAAAUCUACAAGAACAAUACAUUUUCAUAUCUUGGUAGUAGCACAUCCUACAGAAAUCAAAAAGUUCUAUCAUAUCUUCUUAUACAAAGAUGAAAAUGCAGUAUAUGAAAUUAUAAACGGCCCAUAAAUUAACUGAAGUCCAGCUUAAAAAAAAAUGGAAGUCAUAUUUCUUUUACUAAAAAAAAAUAAAAAUCAAAGUAGCGGAUUGCACUCUUUUUUUGGCGGUCUUCCUAAAAAAUUAUUCUUCCCUUAAAACAUGUUCAAGACAACAAGAACAAAGUUAAAAUGCAAAUAAAUCAAAUAAUUAAAUUUGGAAUAGUAAAAAGCUAAAAUAGGCAAAAUUACAAAGUAAACCCCAAAAAAUUUGGUUCUUCCAAAAAGCCCCGAUUCUAUAACCAGACUUCGCCCAUAUCGCCUAAAGCUUAAAUUUUGACAAUUAAACAAUCAUUUCUUUAUAAUUACAAAUAUAUUUUCGAUUAGUAUUCUCUUUGUAUAUUUUUUAUUCUCACAUCAAUAUAUGAAUUGGAAGGAACAAGUAAUGUAAUCACAAUAAAGAUCAAACUUGUGCUAGCUCUUCAAUCUCCAUAGGCAUGGAUCAGUUGUGAAUGCUGCUGAUGCCGAUACCGAAGUAGCUAAAUGAAGCAAUAGCAUUAGAAGGAGUAGUAGGACUAGGGGAACGCGCCUUUUCGUUAAUUUAAUUAAAUAGAUCUUUCACCUGCGAGGAAAGAGAACAACGCAUAUUCCAACAAUACCAAGAACUCCUACUUGUACGAGAGUAGUAGCUACGGUAAUGCCUUCAACACCGGUUAUUCCCACAGCUGAUUCUAUUCCUUCUAUUCUUCAUUUCAAAAGAGUCCCCACUAAGAUGUAGUGUGUGCUGGCCCGCCCUUGCUUGGGCAUAAUUUUGUGCUGAAUAAGUCAAUGACUACUUCCUUUUGCCUUUUCAUUGCUUUGGCCUGGAGCCGGGCGUAAAUGAUUUAGAAAACCAGACAAAGCAUGGAGACGCAAGAUUGGCCUAUCCUUGACUUGACUGAAUAUUAGAAGAAAAGAUCUACCGGCUUUGAAAGACCCUUUUCAAACCAUAUAGAGGUGUGGGACACAGUCCCUUCAAUGAUCAAGACUAGAUUUGAUGAUAAGGCUCGUGAUAACCAACCUCUAAAAGACAUCGUACCAAUAGACUAGGCGAGAUCCCUUUUGCCAUUCGAAGAUAGAUUUCUUCUUAACGCGGUCAGAACCAACACCAAUGUUGAAGGAACUUGAAGCUCGGGUUCGUAGGAAAGCAGGAUCAUAAGCUUCUUACACCAGGCACUUUCCCGACUAGGUUACGGAGCGAUAGCAACUAUCUGAUCUGCUUGACUAAAGGGAAAUGGUAGAAGCGCGAUUCCCACUAAGGACUCAUGGUCAACAGUUUCGUGACUGAGGAAAGAAGGGUCUCAGCACGGAGUUUACAGGCUGUGGAUCUAGGAUGAGACUUCAGUCCAAAAAGUCUAUUCGGGUGACGGUACGACUGAAGAGACUAGUCAUCACAGGGCACAAGCCAAAAGAGGAGAAAAGGAAAGAAUCUUCCUCAGGCACCUGGAUCACCAACCAAGCUUCAAAGCUCACACCGAUAUGGCAGAAAUCAUUCAUGAAAGGAAGCCUCCAAAACUGUGAAUUGGAUUAGAGAGACAAAGGCGUUCUCCAUUCAGCGAUAGAGGAUAAGUCGACUAGCAUCGCCUUGAACUUCACUCCUCACUCAAGGCACACUAACCAUCGCAUGUCUGCCUUUGCACAAAGUUAAGCAAUUGGUUCUACUUCUUGACCGAGGACCAGGAGAUCUUGUGAAACCUAAUACAGUCUAUUUGCUGCCAUGUGACACUAUACUUUACUGGGCUGAAUCCAUCAACAUCUAUUACUGGGCUUCAAUGAUUGAAUAGAGGUGGCAGAUGAAGACUCUGCUCCCGUCCUUCAUUCAUCAGGUCUAAAAGUAGAUAGCUCUUCAAUCUCCACAGGCAUGGUAGCACUAAACAACAGAGUUUGAUUAUUUUUUCUGGAAGAUUUCGCAUCACCUGCAACAGAAUUGGAGAGCACCAAAAUAAUACAAAAAUGAAUAAAUUGGUACGAUGCCCUCUAUGCACUUUAAUUAAGCAAGCGAAAGCCGAUGAAAAAUAAAUACAUACUGAUAGAAAUGUUGAGGAAAACCCGUUUAUCUAACUUGUAAGAAAUAUCAACUUUAGAUCAUUUUAGUGGUGGAUUCUGAUAAUGAAACUGUGCGCCUGCGUCGAGUGGUUUUAAAUGGUCUAGCAUAGAAUGAGUUAAGAUCAAAAGAAGUAAAAGAAAAGAAAAUCACUGUGAGAGGGAGGCAGGGAAGGAUAUAAGUUGAAAUACAACAGAUGAGGAAAAUACUUGUGUGCAUAUGAUUAUUCCAUAGAACAAAUAUGUGGACAUGAAUUACCUCUCUUAUCUGAAGUUCAAUUCCCGUGUCAAGCAUUCUAUCAGCUUCAUCCAAAACAACAAAUGAAAUCCUAGAGAUAGAAGAAUUUCCUUGUUGUAGAUGAUCAAUAAAUCUUCCAGGAGUAGCAACCACUAUAUUGACCCUAGCUCGCAGCUUAGACCUCUGUCUUUGCAUCCUGUAAUAGAACGCAAUCAGAUCCCUUGAAAUUUGAACUAAAGAUCAUAACCUAAAUGAAGUCCACAUUUUCUAGCAUCCCUAUUAUCACCAUAUUAUUGUAGCCACCGUAAGAAUAUAUGAAACAAAGCAAUCAGUAAGUCAAUAAGGUAACAUCCAUGGAAGGAUCUGACACCCUCAUAAUAUUUAUGCCUUAAAAGUACAGUAAAGUAACCUUAUCUACAUCUAGAAAUAUGAGGAAAAGAUAAGUAAUAAAAGACGCAUUUAUCGUUGAAAAUCAACAGGUUCAUAAAGUAAAAAUAAUAGCAGAGCACCUAAAUUUGAGCGACAAUAUCACUUCGGCUGGUAUAUUAACACAAUUGUGUACGAAAUAACAUGCAAAUGCAUAUAAUGUUCUAUGGUAGAGUGGCAAGCUACCAGAUCAAUACUUAUAUUUCAAAAUACACAAAAUAUUGAAUCAUAUAGUGACCAGAAAAUGAAGCUAAAUCGGCACAUGGGACAAAUAAGGUGCUGGGAAAUCUCAUUUCUGUGCGAAUGUCAUGUCAAAGAUAGUUAUUUCUAUUUUCUAUUUACGAUAAAAUAGCAAAGCUAGUUACUACAAUAUAUUUUAGAUCGUGAUUGAUGGCUAGACUCUUGUGGACCUCAACUUUUGCAACUAUUCAUCAUAUUGUAGUCUCAAAGAAGAGCAGAUGUCUAUCUUCUAAACUAUACAUAUAAAACUAAAAGGCUUCAUGAAACCACAAGGAUUAGAAUGAAAAGGCUAGUACUGCCAAUUAUCAAACCACAGCUCCAAAAUCCUUGAUGGUCCUUCUCACUUAAUGUCCAUGCUGAUCUAUAUCAAAAAUUAUAUUUAGGCCACAAAAAAGGAGACCGUAUGACAGAAUCUACACCAAUUAAAAAUUAACAAAGAUUUGAGUAGGAAUUUAGUAACCACUUCUAAGCAAACAACAUAAACAUAUAAAUAAACAGAUGUGCAAAUAUGGAUGAUUGAUAAUGUCAUUUUCUUCAAUAGAUGAUCACCUAGCAGUUUUAGUUUGAAGUGGCCAGGAGCCAUCAUCUAAGCUAAUGGAUAAAACUUCCGGCAAUUGAAGCCUAAAUGCAACAAAUUUAAGAUAAAUUACAAUAAAAAAUGAUCAAAAAGUAAAAGAGAAAAUUUAGUCCAUGACAAAGAUUUAGGGCCUUAUUUUCCACACUGGUGAAAUUAUCAUGAGACGCAGUAUUUCUAUUCCAAACUAAAACAUUCAACUCCCAUAACCCCUCUAUCGAUGUAAACACGAAUUUCUCGCGAAACGUAGGGUGUUUACCUCCAUCUACAAUAAAAUGAACAAAAAAAAAAAAAUCUAAAUUAAUGAAAUGCUUGAGAAAAAUUGUAAUUGAAUUAAAUCCUUCCAACAUCAUAUCAUUAUAACUAUAUAAUUUCCCAAUACCUGUACAGGUUCUUGUACGGUAUUUUGUGCUAGCAUAUUCAACACAAACGUAGGGAUCUUACCUCGAAAUCCCUUUUUUUCUCUUCAAUUUGGUGCCACCAACAACUGCAAAAAUCACAAACAAUAUACCAACAAGUUAAGGUAAAAAAGUAAAAAUCCAUGUACGUUAAAUAAGAAAAAUAAUAAUCAACCCAUAAGUGGACUUUUAAAAUGAAAUGGAACAAACAUACACAAACAGGAGAAUGCAAGUUUGAGGAUCCUAAUUACAUGUAUACAUCUCAAUUUUAUGGGAAUGUUUUGAAUUCUUUUCAAGAAUUUCGAACAAACACAAAGAGAAAAUAAAAAUACAUAAGGAAUAAAGGUAAUGGCUGGGAAAUUUCAUUGCAGAAGCUGAGACCCUUGUCAAACUCAACUAAAGAUUGAUGGUUUCGAAACCAACAAGAAAAUUCAUUCUCAAAUAUAGCCAAAAGUCAAGCCAGAGUUUCUUUCACAGAAUUCAUACAAGUGUGAAACUUGGAAAUGAGAGUUUUUUUUUACCUUUGUUAGUGUGAAACUUGGAAAUAAAAAAUUUGUCUUUGUUUCAUGUUAAUCAAGUAGGGUGCUAAAAAUAAAUAAAUAAAUAAAUUUGCUCCGCAUUGUGCGAAGUGAGCAAAGUGCGGAGCAACUCUGCACUUGCUACCCACUGUGUAGAGUUGCUGAGCUUUUUUUCCCCCUAAUUACAUGUAUACAUCUCAAUUUUCUGGGAAUAUUUUGGGUUCUUUUCAAGAAUUUCGAACAAACACAAAGAGAAAAUGAAAAUAAAUAAAGAAUAAAGGUAAUGGCUUGGAAAUUUCAUUGCAGAAGCUGAGACCCUCGUCAAACUCAACUAAAAAUUGAUGGAUUCGAAACCAACAAGAAAAUUAAUUCUCAAAUAUAGCCAAAAGUCAAGCCCAGAGUUUCUUUCAUAGAAUUCAUAUAAGUGUGAAACUUGGAAAUGGGAGUUUCUUAUCUUUGUUAGUGUGAAAUUUCGAAAGAAAUAAAUUUGUCGUUGUCCUAAAUAAUUUCUUGUUAAUCAAGUAGGGUGCUUUGAAAAAAAAAAAUUGCUUUGCACAGUGUGGAGUGAGUAAAGUGUGGAGAAAUAGUUGCUCCCCACAGUGCGGAGUGAGCCGCACUUUGCUCCCACAAAAUGCGGAGGUACUCCGCACAGUGCAGAGCAUUUUUUAUUUUUUUUAGCAUCCACAAUAAAAUUAGCAAAGCUAAAUGCUCAGUAUUCCAACAAAAAUGAAUUCACCAAAUUAACAUGGAAGAUCACACUAAAAGCAAUACUUUCUUGGUAUUUCAAUAAAAAUGAAUUUACCAAAUUAACGUCAAUUUACCAAACGAAGAUCACACCAAGGCAAUAAUUUUUAGGAAAAUAAUUAAUUAUACAACCUAAACAAGAAACACGUCUACACACAACUGAUAAUUGUUUUAGCAUUUUGCACCAGAGUAUUUACUUAUUCGACUAACCACCGAGAUAACAUCAAUGAGCCAAAACAAAUCGAAUUGUUUACCGGUAGGUUGGUUUUACAACUGAAAUUGCGUGUGUGCGUGGUUUAUGUUCUGAGAAUAUUUCACCACUAAAAAUCAGGGAAUUUUGACAUAUAAUCACAAACAAGAAAUGUACACUAUUUACCUUUCAACAACAGAUAUGAAAAUAAAAAAUCAAACAUCAUUAAAAAUUCAAAAUCAGAACUCACCAACUUGAAUGGCUGAAGCCGGGUGAUUCAUUAGAGCAUCUUUUGCCAUAAUUCUUGUCUUGCCUCCUAAAAAAAAAAAAUUCUUAAUCCUCCGGGAACAACGGAAUGAUAAUACCCCUCUAAAAAAGUCUUGUAGACGUAGAACUACACAAUAAAAUGGAACCAACAUUCAUUCAAUUCAUAGCAAAAAUCUAAAUUUACUUACCAAAGCUGAAAACUACCUCUCUGCAAAACAAAGAAAUAGAAUUCAUUCAACUUUGCAAUAAACUCACUCUUGUCGAAAGGAAAAUAUGCAUUUUUAAUACAACUUGAAACAAAACCUAAAUCAAUUCCAUAAAAAUAUAUACAAAGAAAACACUACUAACCAUUACAGCCAGCAAAUUUUCUUUCGAGAAGAAAUGAGAGUAGAAAGAGAUAUUUAAAUUCAUAUACCUCUUCAACUACCUUGAGUAAAUCAAUCAAUAGAAAUUGUUGUAUCUGAAAAUAAAGAGUAUGGUUGCCUAGUAUGGUCGUCGAAAAUAAGGGCAAAAAUCAGGAUGGAUGUGAGCUAAAGAAGAGAAAGAAGAAGGAAAAAAAGAACUUCGACAAUGAAAAGUAGGAAAAAUAUACAGACAAAAAUGACGUCAUUUUCUUCUCUAUUGUACAGUAAAUUGGGAUUCAUUUUGUGUUCCAUCAAUAGUGGCAACUCGUUCAGCUUUUUAAGAGAAGUUAGAUAUGCAGUAUACGUGUUUUAAAUUGAUUUUUUUUUGUGUUUAUAUAUUACUCGUCUCAUUGAGUUUUGCCCCUAAAUUUUGUUCUUUUAUUGCUGUUCAUGUAGAAUUCAAUGUAUUUUAGUGUUUAUAUUCAUGUUUUCCUCAACUGGUUGUAACAUGGAAAUCAAAGAGAAACGGAUAGAGAAAGGGCUUAGGCUCGGACCUGUGGCAAAGGCAAGACUAAAGAUGAUGGUUUGACCUAGAGCAAUCUUUUUCAAUGGUAAUUCCCUUCUUUCUUUUUAAUUUUUAUAAUGCUUUCAGAACUCCAUGUUUUUUUCCUUGUGGAUGUAGUUCAUAUUUCUUGUCUAACUAUUAGUAAUUUUGGUUGAUUUUGUUCAGCUUUAGAGUUUUAUUCUAAGUUAGGAUCUGAUUUCUAAUUUUGCUUUCCUCCCUUCUAAGAUCUUCCAACAUUUGACGUAAUUAUUAUUAGUGUUAUUUGCCAAGAUUUUAUUUUAGAUCUGCAUACUUGGAUUUUCUUUAAAGUUAAUGCAUUAAAUUUCAUUGUCCCUUCACCAAAUUUUCAAGGGUUUUAUUUAUUUAUUUAUUCUUAAUCAAGAAGUUUGUUGGGAAUUUAAUUGGUAGCGUAUGGAACCGAAUUCACACUUACAGUACAAGUAAUUUAGACACCAGAUUCAUGCUUACUGUAUUUGCAACUUACCAGCUUACUGUAUUUGACAGAGCAUCUCACCGUAUAUGGCAGUGCAGCUCACCGUAUAUGGCAGAUUACCAUAUUUGGCAGUGACUUAACCACAGAAUUUGCACAAACUGUAUAGUAACCUAAACAAGACAGAUUUUGGACAAAAUAAUUUAAAUAACACAGAAUUUGUAUAAAUUGUUUGUUUUUAUACAAUAAAUUAGACAACAUAGAAUCUGAAUUUGCACAGAGUAUUUUUCAUAAAAUAACUUAGAUAACACAGAUUUUGUACAAACACAUAAUAUCAUCUAAGUUGUGAGAAUUAUAACAAAUUAAUCUACUUAAAUAAGUAUACCAAAUUAUAUUAUUUGCAGAGACACAAAGCAAUAUGAAUUCCAGCAAAAUAAUAAAAUACACAAAAUAUAAAUUUGCAAAUAAAAAAUUAAACUAGAAAGCAAAUAAAUCUGCAAAUAAACUUUUUAACUUGAGGCCUGUGUAAACACAGUUUCCUUAAAACAUAUUCAUCCUCUCAUCGUACGUGCAUGAGCUUUAAUCAGGGCGUCUGUUUCCCAAGAUAUAACGGUAUUGUAACAGAGUCCGAGCGCCACUGACACUGUUUUGACGAUCUGAUUUUGUACUCGAACAGUAUCACCACCUAAACGAGACAUAAAUUAUACAGAAAAAUGAUAUAUGCAGACACGAUUUUUCCUUGCAUUUUCUUGUGUGUAUCUAUGCAAAACGCUAUCCAAAUCGGCCAAUUUUUGCUUUAUUCAGUCCGACGAUCGUUACAUAGAUCAUGCCCUCACACAAGUUGAAGGCUCUGUGUAAACUUUCUAUUCUUGAUUUGCAACCCUUGAGUGCGCAAGGGAACCUCUAUGUUACACAUGAUUACACCCUUUCAAAGUGUAACUCUAUAUAAAGCGGUUCAUACUUUCUUCAUUUUCCUAUGUGGGACAAAGCUAAAUAUAGUUUUUCCACUAACAUAAACCAUUUCCAAUGGUCUACUUUAAACUACAAUUUCUCAUUCAUUCAUUCAUCAAUUUUGGUAAAUAAAUAUAUGGUUUCGAAGCUUUCACAGAGGAGAAUACGGAUCAACUUUGAUCUUCCAAAUUGGACCAACGGAUCCACUCAAAUUUUAUGCCAAAAUCAGCCACUAACCCUUUUUUUUCCAACAAAGUUAUCUUAGUCAAGAUUUGCAAGUAUAAAUCAUUUACAUGUUUCAAAAAUUACUAACUACGCGAAUGUAAUGUUUAAUUUAUUGUCUAGCUUUCUCUUCAAGCAUUUGAAGAUGCAAUCAUUCAUUAACUCCCAUAUAAGCAUAUGGAUUAUAGGUAAGUUGUGUACAUAAUAAAGUGGUCUGAUUUUAUUAUGUCUUUAUUGUAGUUCACCUUUGAUUAUGUGUUUUAUACGUGUCUUGUUAUAUAGGGAUGCAAAGGCGCUUGAAGAAAAGGCGUUCGUGCAAAAUUCGCAAGUGUACAUGAUCAUUAACAAGUAAUAUGUGAUGAGUAACAUGUAUCAUCCCACGAGAAAUAAAAGUUAAUUGAGUGUACUAGCCUCUAAUUAGAUUCAAAGUGAGCAAAUAAAAGUGAUUUGUGAUUUUUAACUAUUCUAAAUUAAUCUACUAAAACGUGUAAAAUUUGAAUUUUGUUUUUGUAUGGGAAGAGUGUAUUGGAUUACAAAUCCACCUAUUAUUAUCUAUUUCAAUUCUCAAUUAUGUAGCUAGUUUCGUUCUUGUGUUCUUGACAAAUCAAUAAUUCUAUUAUAAUUAAUUUUCUUUUUCAAGAUAAAUUAAAUAUAUUCUAGUCACGACCCAAAUCUAUCUCUAGUCCAAAUUCGAAUGAAUAAAAUGUAUUCAAUUUCAAAUUUAUCUCGAAGAUUGUACACGUGAUAAAUAUUAUUCCUAAAAUUUAUUGCACAUGUGUUAAUCAAGUAGUGUUUUACACCUAUUACGAGCUUCAUAGCACUAUAACAAGGAACCAUAUAUUUAAUUGGUGAUCAAACAAUCAAAUAAUAAAAUUAAGCAUGCUAGAUUAAUCAAGAACUUCAAUAAUUUAACUAAACUACUUGUCUCAAAUUAAAAAUAAAUAAAUAAUGGUUUCAUCCUCAUCCAAUAAACGAGAAGACUUAGCCAAGCAUAAUGUUGGAAUUAAACAAAUAAAGUUGGAAAGACAUCACCAAAAAUCAACGGAACGUGAUUAUUUUUCGAAAAGAAGCUACCGUGUCCGUGCUUUUUUCUUCAAAAUUCCAUUUGGUUGUGUGAAUUGCCCUCAAUUUUUGCCCACUUCAAUUGCAGUUUCUGUGAAUGUAUUUUUAUUUUUCUCCAGUAAUUGCUGACUUAUGUAUCUAUAUAAUUUUUUUUCAAUUCAACAGCUGCCUUAAUUGUGCAUAUUCUAUGGUUCUGUCUCUCUUCCUUUUGGCGUGCACUUAUUUAUAUUUAAAUUUCAGCAGCCCCUUAUGUUAAUCAUUCCUCUCGCCUUCUCUCUUCUUCUCUCAGUUGGCAUGCAUAUAUGUAUACAAAAACUUCCCAGCAACUACGUGUGUAUCCCUGCAAAUUUGAGCCCCUGCUUCUGUGUAUGUAUCUCUUUUUUUCCUCUGUUGGCACGUUUAUAUUGUUACAAUUUAGGUGUGAUCCGAAUUCUUUGUUGUAAAUAAUUAGGAGUUCUAAUUUAAGUCCACAUUAAUUAGAAUCCUAUUAGGAAUGCAAUUGUGAAACUUUUGGACAUUCUAUUUUAUUUACAACUCUACUACUUUUAGGGUUUGGAUUGUUUCCUAUAAAAUACUAGACUCUUCUUCUAAUUUUUGUGAGCGAAGCAUUAUUGCUGAAUUAUUGUACUCUACUUUCAUAGUAUUGAAUAAAAACAUCGUUCCUCUGCCAGUUCACUUUUAUUGUUUAUUUAACUUUGUUCUAUUGAUUGUGAUCUUUUUUUUUUUUUUAAACAACGUUUUAUUCAUAAAACCCUCACUCAAGGCUGAGGAAAAUCGUAGUAACAGCCCAUCAAUCAAUAAAAUAACAAAUAAACUAUCUCAUAUACAUGUAACUAAACAAUGAAAGAUAGGCUUUCUUUUCUGACGAAUGUACAACACACCCAUCUUAUCUAGAUGGAUCAAUCCUUGAAAAAACCUUGGUAAUUCCAUAUAUGAUAAGAACCGUUCUGUCUUCCCCUUCACACCUAACUUCGCCAGCUCAUCCGCCACCUGAUUUGCUUCUCUAUAUUGAUGCAUGAUGUGAAAGUCAAAUCUCCUGAGAAUCUCAAUUAGAACUACCUAAGAGUCCCACAAGUACCACAACGUACAUUUCCUUGCCAAAAUCCAAGAGACCACUAAAAACGAAUCACAUUCAAUAUCCACCUGAUAUAAUCCCAAAUCCUAACACAAGGUCAGUCCAUCAAUAAGCACCCUCAACUCUGUUUCAUUGUUCGUACCAUAUCCAAAGAAGGAAGAAAAACCUACUAUCACCGUACCCAUAUCAUCUCUAAUGACACCACCAGUCAUUCCUGCAUUGCCUAGAUAGCUUCCAUCUACAUUUAAUUUUAUUCUGCCAACCGCAGGUUUAGCCCACUUAAUCACCCGAAUAGGUCUCUCAUGAGACACCAUUGGAGUAAUAUCAAAAUUCCUAAGAAAUAAUUCUUCUGACUUUGAAAGAAUUCGUUCCUUUUUCAGGUUGGUUGACACAUGUUGCAGCCAGAAUUUUAUCAAGCAGAAUAUCUCUUCCACAGUUUCAUGAACACCUUCCAUUCUCGCUUUACAACGUCUCAUCCAUAGUCUCCAAGUCAGUAUAGUUGGAAGUAGCCCUUGUAAGCACUCAACCCGUGAAUUUUUAUCUGCUCUGGCCCACCAUUUACUCUAUCAUACGAAUUUUGUUUAGGUCUCCACCGAAUGCCCAAAGCCACUAAAACUUUUCUCCAAACUUCAUUUGCUGCCUUACCCGUACUUAGAACACGGCUACUAGUUUCUUCCAUUCUCGUAAGGUAACAAUCACAACGAGAAGCUAAUGUUACGCCCAUUUGAUGAACUCUAUUAUCAGCACUUAGAGCUCCAGAAAAAGCUUUCCACAUUGUUACUUACAUUCUUUUUAGGAGUACAGAAUGGCAUAACCAUCUUCCACAAGAGAUUUGGGAAUGGCGAACUCUAAUCAUGUCCCAUGCACUCUUGGAAGAGAAGGUUUCUUGACUUCUCAGUUUCCAAAUAAGAACAGCAUCCCCCUCUAUAAAUUUACUCACCUUAGCCAUAACACUAGCGGCUUUAUCUUUCCCUACAAGUUGUAGCAGUUGAUCCACAUUCCAGCCGCUAUCCAAGCAGUCAUCGUUGAUUCUAAGUUGGUUGAUCAAUAUGUGAUGCAUGCCUUGACAAAGGGCCAUCCUCUAACCAAUAGGCAUACCAGAACGAGAUAGAGCCUUCACUGAUCCACCAUUGACUGUUGUUAAUCACAUCAUAAAUGCAUCUCGCAAUAGAGCACCAAAAUCGAGAGCCUAUACAACGCAAAUUGGAGACAUCAAUCAAGUCAUGCUUAGUAUAUUUAGCCCGAAAGAAAGUUUCCCAUAAGCAAUUUGAUGAUAGUAAUUUUCAUACAAACUUCAUGUGCAAGGCACGCUGGACAUUUUCAAAAUUUCUAACCCCGAUCCCCCCUCCACCACUGGUCUGCAAAGUUUAUCCUAAGAAACCCAUUUUUUUCUAGGCCUCCCACUAACUCACCCCAAAAGAAGGAUGAGAGGAUGGAAUUAAAUCUCUUAGAAAUAGUUUUUGGAACAUUCAAAAUGGCCAACAAAUGGGUAGCCAUACACGUGAAAACAUAACGAAGUAAAACCAAUCUGCCCCCCUUGCGACAACAAUUGCAACUUCUAACCUGCAAUUUUCUUUCUAAUUUUCUCGACCAGAGGCUCAAGAUGGCAAGCAGUUAAGCAACCCUGGACCAUCGGAAUUCCCAAGUAAAUAACUGGAAAUUGACCUUCCUUAAAUCUUGUCUCCCUUAAUGUUUCUCCUUUCCGAGCCACUGAACAAUGUUAUGAGAAAAAUAUAGCAGACUUCUCCUUGCUGAUCUUUUGACCGGACCAACUCUCAUAUAGGCAUAGAAUCUUCAUGAGCUCUCUAACAGAUCUUUUCCCUCCAUUGGCAAAGAUUACUAAAUCAUCAGCAUACAUCAAAUGAGUUAUCACAGUUGUGCCCCUAGGAUGUGAAAAAAACCCAACCCGUCCUUCCUCAAAACCCCUCUUCAGCAAUCUAGUUAGCACCUCUUGCAUGAUAAUAAACAAAUAAGGGGAUAUAGGGUCCCCUUGACGAAUACCACGUGAAGAUUUAAAGAAACCCUGCAUGGUUCCAUUCAUCAUCACUGAAAAUCAUGGUGUGGAUAUAUAUUGAUAUUUAACUUGCAAAACCUCAUUGGGAACCUAAAGGAUGAUAAAACAUGAAGUAAAAACUGCCACUUCACCCUAUCAUAAGCUUUAGCCAUAUCACUGAUGCACAUGCUCAAACUUCCAUGCAUUCACUUCGAUAAAUCCUAACAUAGUUGUAUGCAAGUCAUCUUUAUUUAUCCUCUUCUUUCACUCUAAUUUAUCCAAGGCCAUUUCCAUGUAUUUGUGCAAGUUCCCACAUGAUUUUUACGAAUUGAGUAAGAGUGGAAGACUGAGAACAUUCAUUCAAAAAGUUUCUAUGGUAAAUCAUCGUUGACCAUUUUUAAGGGUUAUGAAUCAGGAAGGUUAUAUUAAUUUUCUCUCGUCUUUCCAAUUUCCACCGUAAUUCUGGGAAUUUUUGUAGGAGUUGUUAGCUCCAAUUGAACCAACACCUUAUCCAAGCACAAGAGCAGUUUUAGUUCUAUUCACUCAAAGAACACGUCUCUUUAACGCUUGAAUAUAUGCAAUCUGAAAACUCACAUGAUGGAAACCAUAAUAAGUACUGCAAUAAUCCUUAAACAAAUUAGCUAGAGAAAAGAGAUUGAAAAAAAAAACUGUCCUUCAAGUAUAUUAUGGCAUAGUUACUAUUUCAUAUAUUUCGACUUCUAGCGAUGCAUAGGUCUGAGUUGCAAUUUUAUUUUAUGUAUAUAUAUUGAAGGGAUCAUCUUCAGUUGUGAACGAAACGUUGUUGGUUUGAUUUAGGAAAUCUCUUUUCUGCUCAAACCCGAAUAAUUUACAAAAUUAAAUUAAAUAUUGUUAGCUUUUGGUAAUUCUAAAUUCUUGUAUAAAUACUUCUUUUAAUAAUUUAUUUACUUAAUCCUAAGUUAGUCAUUAUCUACUAUUACUUAGUUUAUUCAGUUUAAGUAUAGAUGUGAACUCCAUAAUUAAACUAGAUAUUAAUAGAAUCAGAUGAGUUGCUACGAUAGUUAAGAUAAAAUAAAAAUUGACUUUAUUUUCACUUAUCCUCUAUUUCAAUCAAAUUUAAUUGUUUAUAAAUUUUCUCUCAAUAUACUGUAAGGUUUUUUUUCAAAUUUUAUUAUAUUCGUUUUUCGUUCAUCCUCUCAUGUUCAUUGUUAGCUUCAAUCACACUGCAUCUAAAUCACGGUUUCUUCUCUUCAUAUUGACAUGUAAUGUGCACUCUUAUCUUAUAUUUCUUUCCUUCGUGUUGAGUUUUUAAAUAUUCAAUUUUCUAGCUUCAUUCAUUCUUUUUUUUUUUUUUUUAUAACAAAAAAUUGACCAUGUUGGUUAUUUGUGUAAUGUUAUAGCGUUAUGUUUUUGUAUUGUAGUUUGUUGAAGUACUGAUACAAUGACUACUUAUAUUCUAAUUAUUGGCUAACUAUAAGUUUUGUGUCAUAUUUCGAGUUGUCGUUAUUCUUUUUUCUAAUACGAGAACAUUCCUUCUGUGUCGAUCCUUGCAAGGUUUAUGUACUAGAGUGGUUAUAUUGUUGAUAAGUAGGGAUAAGAGCUUACAUCUCCUCGUCUUCAGUGAGGAUAUGUUCUUCAUAUAUGUUCUUCCUAAGUGGAUGAUUCUAUUUAUCUUCUUGUACAAGAGGUACUUUCAUAAUGCGUUAUACUUCUUGUAUUAUCGAAUCAUUAUAAGAAUUGCUUUGUCCACGGAGAUUUAAUUAUUUAAUUUAAAGUGUACGUAUUUUACUAUGAAGGAGGGACGUACAACAUAAGGCUAAGUGAAAAAGUUUGAAAGGUUUGAUAUUUUAUUUGAAUUCCGAUGCUAUGCAAGUAGAUAGUAAUGGUGGAGGAGGAAAUGAUUAAAAUUUUAAAGUUGGUAUAAUUACCACGUGGAAACAAGAUGCUGGAAAAGAUAUGAUGGAGAUUCUGGUAGCAAAAACUACUAAAAGACGCUACAAUCAUGUUAAUUAUACUGUGAUGUUUAGCUUGGUUUGUGAUUCAAGCAAUUUUGAAGAGAAUGAUGCUCUUCAAAUGAACUAUUCAAAGUGGGUAUAGUCGACUAAACAUCUAUAGAAAACAAGUGAAUGAUCCUUUUGCUACUUACUACAAAGAAAGAAAGUUAAUGUUAAGUAGCAUCAAAAUAGAGAAAAGGCACAAAUACUAGCAGUAUUGCUAAAAGUCUUGUUGUUUUGUGACAAUUUAAAAAAGCAAUAAUAACCUGCAAUUAGAAGGACAAACACCAAGCGUUAAUGAAGUUAAAAUCAUAAGUUAUAACCAUUCCUUUUAAUCAUAUAUUGGGGUUACUAGCUAGAGUUCAAAGCAGCCCUAUAGUAAAGAUAUCCCUUUAGAUUGAUGAGUCGGUUAUUUUGUGAAAGGUAUCAACAUAGAGAAGGGAAUGGGUGAAAUUUUGUACAAGUUGGAUGGUGAAAUUGUUGAGUUUGGUGACUCAAAUAUAUUAGGAUUCCUUGUUGAUUUGGAAUUUGAUCAAGUGGAAUUCUAGAAAUUGAUUAGGAGUCUUUUGAUGGCGUAAUUGGAGUUGGAAAAUGAAUCUAAUUGCAUCCUACAAAAGGAAACAAAAUCCUAUUGAAAUUAAGUCUCCUAAUUAUAAUAUAUUUUCUUAUCUUUUAGGACUUUUCUAAGGUUGGCCUAUAAAUAAAGGCUCUUUUGUCAGUUUUAUUAGAAAGAGAGUAACAUAGAAGCAGCAUUACUAAUCUGUCUUAUAUUCUCCAUAUUGUUCAAUAAAAAUAUUGUUUCCUCUGCAUUAAUUUUCUUUGUUCCUGUUUUAUAAAUUUAAUCUUGUUUUUCGUCUUGUGAUCUGAUUUACUUCAUAAUUUUCAUUAUAAUCUCGUUCUUCAAAAUCCAUUGGAAUCAACUUGUGUUUUUUGGGAGCUUUCGUAUCCAACAAGUGGUAUCAGAGCCAAGCUGUUGAUUUUCUGUGGAUUGGUUGAGAUUAUUUUGGAGAUGGUUGGGUUGAAGUUUGAUAUUCCGCAAUUAGAUUGCAAUACAAGAUUCUCUUUGUGCCAAAUAAAGAUGAGGGCUAUUCUGGCACUGUUGGAUUUGGAAGAUGCGUUGCUGAGUUUUGACAGGAUGCCAGCUGGAUGGAAAAUGGAGAAGAAACAACGGAAUGAUCGAAAUGCUACAUCAUUGAUUCAUCUUCAUCUGUCCAACAACAUUCUACAGGAUGUCUUGAAGGAGAAAAUGGCGGCUGCUUUGUGGUUAAGGUUGGAACUGUUGUGUAUGACCAAGAGUCUUACAAGUAAACUGGCUCUUAAGCAAAGGUUGUAUUCCCAUUGCAUGGCAGAAGAAGAUUCUUUGGAAGACCAUGUUACCAUGUUCCAGGAGAUAGUGGCAAAUUUGGAGACGUUGGAGGUCAAGUAUGAUGAAGAGGAUCUUGCCUUGAUCCUGUUGUGUUCACUGCCCGGGUGUUAUGCGUCGUUUUGGGAUACUAUCUUAUGUAGUCGGGAUACUUUGAUUAUAGAAGAUGUUAAUGAGGCCUUGCACUCAAAGGAGAAGAUGAAACUUCUGGUUGGAGCUACAUCAAGGGAUGGAGAAGCUCUUGUAUCUCAAGGUGGUUGAUGAAGAGGCAGAUCGAGAGUCAGAUUUAACAAUGUGACUUGUAACUACUGCAAAAGGAAGGGACAUAUUCGGAAGAAUUGCGAUGAGUUGCAUGCAAAAGGUUUAGCUGCAAAUCGUGGAAUGCAACCUGUGAAUUGAGACGAAACCAAUGUAGCUAAGAAUUGUUUAGAUAGCGAAGAUGUGAUGUUGACUGUGAUAUCCGAUGUGGAAUCUAGGCCUGACGAGGAAUGGAUUCUUGAUUCGACAUGUUCACAUCAUAUUUGUUCUGAUAGGAAUUUAUUUUAGACAUAUGAGGAUGUUCAGCAAGAUGGAGUUGUCAUGGGAAACAACCAGUCUUGUUGUAUUGCUAGAAUCAGUCAAGUCAGAUUGCGGUUGCAAGAUGGGACGUUCAGAACACUUGGCCAGGCUCGACGUGUUCCAGAUUUGAAGUGGAAUCUCAUUUCGCUAAGUACCCUGAAUGCAAAAGGGUAUAAAUUCUCUGGAGGAGAUAGAGUCUUGAAGGUCCGAAAGGGAGUCCAGGUUGUACUAGAGCGAUGGAGAAGAUCUCAGUUGUACAUUUUGCAGGGGAAUGCAGAACUGGUUGGGAGACAUUUGGACAAGUUUAGUACCAUGGUGGAAGUUUAGUUUGGUACAGUACCUUUUGGGUUGGGCUCUGAGUUGGUUCAGAACACUGCUAGGGAGAGCGUUGGUGAUCCCACUUUGCCACCAAUUUUAGCGGGCACGCUGUGUUCAGUUGCUAGGGUAGGACUCAUCGAGCUUAGGUACAGAGAUGUCAGCAAUGUCUGGGAUGCUUUUGGGGAUGUUGAAGACGAUAGUUCAAGCAAGGGGUCUUCUGAUCAAGCAUCUAGUUUGGUUCUUGCUACAGGAUGUGCUUCGGCCCCGUGUGAUCAAUAUUAAUUACUUGGUGAAAAUUGGGACCCCGGAUAUUGGAUUUUAGCGUCAGUUGUGGAUGCCGGGCAGAGGACGAGUGUUUGGUUUAUAUGGAGUGGUUACUGUGUUGAGAUGAUUCGGCCAGCUCAUUUCGAUGGAAAUGGAUUUGAAAUCUAGAAGUUUCGUUCAUUGCACCGAAAUUUGAGUCAAGGUGGAGAUUGUUGAGUUUGGUGACUCAAAUAUAUUAGGAUUCCUUGUUGAUUUGGAAUUUGAUCAAGUGGAAUUCUAGAAAUUGAUUAGGAGUCUUUUGAUGGCGUAAUUGGAGUUGGAAAAAGAAUAUAAUUGCAUCCAACAAAAGGAAACAAAAUCCUAUUGAAAUUUGGUUUCCUAAUUGUAAUAUAUUUUCUUGCUUUUUAGUACUUUUCUAAGGUUGGCCUAUAAAUACAAGGUUCUUCUGUCAAUUUUAUUAAAGAAAGAGAGUAACAUAAAAGCAGUAUUACUAGUUUGUCUUGUAUUCUCCAUAUUGUUCAAUAAGAAUAUUGUUUCCUCUAAGUUAAUUUUCUUUAUCCCUCUUUUACAAAUUUAAUCUUGUUUUUCGUCACGUGAUCUGAUUUAUUUCACAAUUGUCAUUAUAAUCUUGCCACGCGUUUUAUGUAAUGUGAUUUUACCGCAAGUGUACGGUAUCAAGUUUUGUAGUAUAUUGAUAAAAUAAAAAGUGUUGAACUCAUGGGGAUUAAUAAUUAAAUCCUACUGAGUACUAUAAUGAUUUUGGCUUUUCACUUUAUUUAGACAAUCAAAUAUUAAAUGGAUGAUUUUAUAUUAAACUAAAAUAUCUGAAUUAAAGGGUGCAAGUAAAGUGCAGCAAUUUCUCAAAAUUUGAUCAAAUGUAUGAAUGCCUAGGGAAUGAUUUCACUAUAUUCUCGACGAUGUUUUUCAACCUUUAUAGCUAUUUCCAUAAAUUCUUUUUCGAAUUUAUAGGCAAGAAUCCUAAAUUAACUCUAUCCCCUGUCUCGAGCGCCAAAUAGAAUUUAUCUCUAUAUUUUACCUCCAAUAUCUCUAUUCUGAAUUAAACAUAGAGAAAUUAUCAAAUAUUUGAUUCUUGAAUUGAAUUGGCCUCAAAGAUUCGUACUUUCUCUCGAAACCUACAGAUUCUAGGUUAUGUCAUUCUUUAAAUCACGCCUAAAUUUCCCUCUCUCAAGCAGCAAACUUAAAGCAUUAAAUCAUUCAAUUGUUGAUCAAGCAAUUGAAAGCAUUAAGCAAGAACAACAUAAAUAAAUUUCUGGAAAAUCAAAGGAUAAAACUGUAUUGGAAUCAAAACAUGUCUCAAAUAGGUUACGCCAAGCCCUAGAUCUCAAAGUUUAGUUCAUAAUUGAAUUGAUUGACAUAAUGAAAUACACAAUAAAAAACAUGGAGAAGAAGUAGGGAAUAAGAGAAAAAAAACUAGUUGUGUUGCGUUAAUUCUUCCCCUAAUCGUUGUCAAUCUUCUUGCAAUUCCUUGUUGAUUUUCGCCUCUUAGAUUUUCUCUCCUUGCAAGCCUCUUUUUUUUUUGUCCAGCAGAAGAAGGUACGUCGUUCUCUUCGUCCUCCUAGGUUAAGUAGUACGAUAGAUUUUAUUUCCAUAAGAGUUUGUGUCAAAAAAUGAAUCUGCCUGAUUUUUUCCAAAAAAUGCCCGCGCACACAACCUAUUGGUUCUACAUUUUGCUUAUGAAAUUCAACCCAUUGCGCGCGCCACUAUUAAACUUUUUCAUGUGUUACACUUUGGUCCCUAUAGUUCAUUCUUCGUUCCUUUUGAUUCAUAUUGACAUCUUCUUGAUCAUUCGUCCUCCAAUACUAUUUAAUUGCCUCUCGCUCUUCUUCAAUCAUUAACAGUAGGCCCAAAUCAACUCUUGGCACUCUGCAAUUUAGUCCCCAAACUUUUGAUUAAGUUCAAGUUAGCAAAGUUUCCGCUCUUCUGUCCAAUUUCAUUGUUUUGCCUCGAGUUACACCUAACGAAUGAAAUAUGUAUGAAGUUAAGUAUCAAUUCAUCCUAAAUAACAAAAAUUGCUCUAGUUUGAUGAAUGAAAUAAGUGUAUAAAAUACACUUAUCAAAUCUCGUUCUUCAAAAUCCAUUGGAAUGGACUUGUGUUUUUUGGGAGCUUCCAUGUCCAACAGAGGUAAUGGUUAAGAAUGUCAUUAAGUGUAAUAGAGGAACUUGUACUAUGACUAUGUUUUACUUUUAAUGGUGUGUUUCCCCCUAAACAAUACAAUUUUCAUUAACAACGUUACAAUCAUAUUGAUGUGGAACGUAAAGAAGGUGGACGUUGUUACAUGUGUCUCCUUACGAAAAUUCAUGUUCACUAUGUUGUGUUACACUGCCUCUAGAAAUUAUCUUUUGAUGUCGAAUAUGUUAUUGCAAUAAUUGAACAAAAAAGUUCUAGUAUCAGCAUUUGCCAAUUCUUCUACAAAUAUAUCUCAUACAUGCUUCACAUGCAACUAACUUGCAGCUGGGGACUAAUCUACCAAAACGUUUUCCAUUUAUGGGUUGACAUAGACUUGUUUCAUUUUCAAGUUUGUUGGAAUAAUUUCUUGCAAGCAAUGGUUCAUGUCAAACAUAGCUCUCUUUAUUUUCUCACUCUUUCUUUGAGUUCUAAGCAUAGCAUCUUUCUCCAAUUCUCACCCUCUUUAGGUUUUCCAAUUUCAUAUUUCCAACUAUGUUUUGCUAUUCGUUAGUUGACAUAAUCUCUGAUUAAUAUAAUAAUACUUGUGUGAAAUUGGUUUUAGCUAGCGAGUAGUGUUGUGUUUCACUCAAUUUUUAGUUAAGCAUUGACGCAUUUGUUUGGUUUGCAUUACAGGAGAUGUUGGCUUUGUUGGGAAGAAACAUGGGUCAAGUUUGGCUGACAAAUAAUGGAAUUGAGAAAAUGCAGCUAAAAAUAGACACAAAUAUUUACAUGGUUCACCCAAUUUAGGUUAUGUCCACAGGCAAGUAUAGGAGGGUUUUACUAUAAUAGGAGAAUUACAAGACUCCCUAAAUACAAGAGGUAACAACAAUUAAUCUCUCUUAUAAUUAGGAGAAAACAAGUAGAAAAUACCUCGGAGAAAACAAUAAUUUCUCUCUAUUUUUUUUUCUCUCUGGUCUCUUAAUUUUCUCUCUACUCAAUUUGCUUUCCACAAAUUUUUUCCUCUGUACAUGGCACUUUUUCUCUUCAACCAUUGCCAAUAUUUAUCGAGAAAAUUUUGCCGCCUUAAUUGCUUGGAAAGUUCAAGAAAAUUAUCUGCAACUUGGCUGGUUAUUUGUAGGAUUUCCACUGCCUUCAAUUGUCAAGAAUAAUGGCUAAACUUGGCUGCCAUUUCCUAUACAAUUUUUUUGAAGUCAACAAUUUACACUUUGCAUUAAAUGCAUGCAAUAUGCCCCAAGUCAACAAUUGCUGCAAAGGAGAAAAUUGUUGCCUCUUUUAGUCUAAAAAAGUGGCUUUCACAUAUGCAUUUUUCGGCUGUCACUUAGCUGGUAGAGAGAAAUCCUAUUUUGCCAACUUUUUGCAUGCAUGUACUUACCUUAGUUGUUAAGUAAGUGAUUAAAGUAUGUGCAUGAAUUUAGUCAACAAUUGUAGCUUUAUUUUCCAACAAGGCUUCUGAAGUUGAUGAGAAUCAUCCAACUGUUGGUCACAUUAUCUCCACUAUGGUUGAAGGCAAAUAUGAUGAGCCCAAAAGGGUUGGUAUUCAAACUUCAUCUAUUAAUUUUCAUUGAUUCUCACAACUGAAUGUUUUAAAAGUUGUAGAAGAAUUGAGAUGGUUAUCUUUUUAAUGAGAGCUAAUAGGUUUGUUUGGGAUGUUUUCUGCAGACAAUUAGUUACACAAUAGAAUGUAUUGUGUGUUACGUGUUAAUACACUUGGCCGACCCACUGGGCUUAUGGCCUACCCAUGCCGAACCACGUGGCAUGGUGGCCGAGGCCCUUAGGCCGACGAAGGACACUCAACAUCUAGAAGUAACACCCCUUAUGUGGCUCAACUACUUGAAAGUCGAAGUGCACUAGCCAAAAUGGUCCAUACCUAGGCCUUUAUGCCGAAGCCCUGUGAGUUGCCGAGGCCCAUAUACCGAAGCCCUUUGAAAGUUGCCGAGGCCCAUAUGCCGAAGCCCUGUGAAAUUGACUAAGGCCCUUAUGUCGAAUCCCUGUGAAAGUUCCUGAGACCCAUACACCAAAGUCCUGUGAAAGUUGUCGAGGCCCAUAUACCGAAGUCCUGUGAAAGUGGCUGAGGCUCUUAUGCCGAAGCCCUGUGAAAGUGGCUGAGGCUCUUAUGCCGAAGCACUGUGAAAAGUAGUUGAGGCCCUGAUGCCGAAAAACUAUGAAAAUGGAGUCGAAGCCCUGAAGUAGAAGUAUUAUGUGAGUGGCCGAAGCCCUGAAGCCUAAACAGAAGCCUCCGAACCAUAAAGGAGCAUCUUCCAUAUUCACUUCUCCCAAGAGAUCUUCUUCUACAUAAAGACCGUGUUUAAAUAAUUGAUGGGACGUUUGUCAUGAGUGUAAAUGUUAAGUCUUGUCAACAGAGUGGGGGUUCUACAUAAGCAAUAAAUGUGCAGCAGGCUAGGAAGUCAAGAAUGAUGCCUACGAUUAGACGUUUGAGUUAGGAGAUGAGGUUACGUGCCUCCUCAUCCAAGGGCCACUAUUUUACAUGAACUUCUAUAAAUUCUUCCCUUAUGUAACAUUAAAGAAAAAAUGCAAGAUUCAACACAAUAAUAAAUACAACAUUCUUUACAUUUUACUCUCUUGCGACAUACAGACAUUCUACAAAUAUCGAUGGGUAAUUAUUGUACAAUCGUUAUGCAAACAUCUCGUCGAAUUCCUAACGUUCUCGUCCCAUGCCUUUGAGCCGCUCCCAUGUCCUUUUUACUACUAGUUCUAAACUAUCCAUGUGUCUUAGCAUAUUGGACCAGGCUUAUGUGUGCGCGGGUGGAUCCGGUAUCUGUUGACAACAUAUUCUGGGGUCAACAGAUUGACGCCGUUUGUGAGAAAUCAUACCGUAACCGUGUGGAAAAGCUUACUAAAAGAAGAACAUUCAGUUAUCCCCCUUAAAAAAGGAUUUGUUCUUGGAAAAGAAAAAACAGAAGCCCCAUAGCUUGCAACAAUUCGAAGUUAGAACGCGAAAGAAUGAGUUCGGACGAAGAUAUACCCCUUAGGAGGGUAAGGGAAUAUGUGAGAAUGUCCCUACUAACAGCUGCCCCUGAGGUUCGGCGUCGACCUCAUCACCACCACAGAAGAGGUGGCAUGCGAAUGGACACUCAGUUAUCGAGAGAGAUGGCCACCAUGGCCGCAAACAUAAGGGAUAUUGCUAGCCAAAACGUGGCCAUGAGGGAGCUCAUGGCCCAAAUGCAGAGCCAAAGAGGCUUCCCUAUUCCUUUCUAUGCACCCCAAGGACAUUACCAAGAUGAGGAAGUCCAAAGCUAAAUAGUUGUAUCACCGGAAUACAGCAGAGGUAGAAGCCCCAUGGAGAGGAAAGUAGAAGUUGAUGUUUCUUUCAACUAUGCUUUAGGAAGACCUACUGAGGUCUCAUAUAACCAAGAUAACUUCUUACCCGCAUAUAAGCCGGAACAAAGACCCAGGAGGUCAAACAAUGUUUUUUUACAGAAUCAACCCAGCCAAACCGAAUCAAGUGAGGCCACAACCCCCACCUCCAAUGACAAUAACCGGAGGAAAGGCAUGAAAAUGUCCCCUGUGAUGCUCCGCCUAGAAAUAGGCGCCAAAUGAGGAAGUAGGAGGCUAGAAACUAGGCCGGUCCUUCAUAUUUACCAUCCAGAUAUGAAGCUGACGAGAACAACGACUCAGAUGAACAGCAAAGGUCCUUUGACUUGGAUGACGAUGAUGAAAAUCUAUCAUUUUCAAGGGAAUUAAGGAGUGCCCAAGUAUCGAACCACUAUUUUAUGCCUAAGAUACCAAAAUACCAUGAAAGAGGCGACCCGGAGAAACAUUUGAAUGCUUAUAACCCAUAUAAGCCUGAGAGGAGCCACUCCGACAGUAAAGUGCAAAGCCUUCCACUUGACACUUAGUGGGGAGGCGGCUGAAGAAGUGGCCUUUAAUGAUGCCCUCUCUUUUAUAAAAGAGGUGAUGAAAAGAAGACCCCCUGAAAGUAGAGAGGCUAUUGAAGCAGUCCUUAAUGAGACCCCCUCUUUUAUGGAAGAGGCAAUGAAAAAAGGCCCCUUGAAGUGGGGUGACGGCUGAAGAAGUGGUCCUUAAUGAGGCUCCCUCUUUUUUUUAAAAAAAAAAAAAAAAGAGGUUAGAAAAAAAAAAGACCCCCUGAAAGGAGAGAGGCUAUUAAAGCAGCCCUUAAUGAGGCCCCCUCUUUUAAGGAAGAGGCGAUGAAAAAGAAGAACCCCCGAAAGGGAAGAAGCUAUUGAAGUGGCCCUUAAUGAAGCCACCUCUUUUUAAAAAAGAGGCCAUGAAAAGAAAGACCCUCUGAAAGGAGAGAGGCUAUUGAAGUGGCCUUUAAUGAGGCAUCCUUUUUUAAACAAUAGGCCAUGAAAAGGAAGACCCCCUAAAAGGGGAGAGGCUAUUGAAGUGGCCCUUAAUGAGACAUCCUCUUUUAAAAAAGAGACCAUGAAAAAGAAGACCCACUGAAGAAGUGAUCUUUAAUGAGGCCCCCUCUUUUAAAUGAGAAGAAUGAAUAAAUAGGACCCCUGAGAAGGAAGAGGCUACUAAAGAAGUGACAUUGACUAAGAGAACCCCCUAAAAAGAUGAGGUCUCUGAUGAAGAGAUUAUUAGAAGACCCCUCUGUAUAAAUUGGAGGCCUCCAAUGAAGAGGCCAUAAAGUGAGUAAACUUGAAGAUGUGGUAAUACUUGAUGAAUUAAUUUAGAAUCUUCGUCCUUGGAAUAUGAGACUCAAAUGCUAUGAAAGGACUAAAAGCAUACGAAAAUGUGAACUUGGGGACUGACGUGUAGAUGUUUCCAAAGUGGAAGAACUGUGAAUGCAAUUUUAUCAAGGGUAUGAUUGAAAUAUACAAGAUCAAAGUUGAGGGAACUAGCCAUGUAAUUAUUGAAAAACGUGAAGGUAGUUUUGAUAUUUUGCUUAAGUAAAAACAUGAGCUUCCACAGGCUCACCAUGCAAGGCCUCAUCCUUAUCUAUGUUUCAGGCUCAGCUUAUAAGGCCCCAUAUUUUAUCUAUACUUCAGAACCACCACUAUCUAAGACUUCAUCAUUUCAAGCUAAUUUAUAAGAUUAUAAUAUUUUCAGAACUAUACAUGGGAUGUUUAUUCCCCACCUUGUCAGAUGUCUAUUCUUGGCUUCGUGAGAUAUUCAUUUCUUAUCUCACACUAUCGUCGAGCUAAGAUGUAAGACCUUGUCAUUCUAAGGCCAAUUUACGAGACUGAUAGUUUGAAAGAGCCACCCAGUUCAACACUCAUUCCUCGUUCUUCGAGAUGCCUCACCAUAUGGAUGUUUUAUUACAACUGCUUUUAUCUUCAGAGAGCUUAUAUUAGUCUCCACAUGGAUGAACCAUCCACCAUGUGGGGAAGUAUGAACGUCUCCGAUGAGAGGUCUCGAUCUCAACAUGAGAUCACCUCGCCUGAACUUCGAGGCAUACGCCACAUGCAUCCCUUUGGUGAAGCUGAACGCCAAAGAAAGAAGCAUCUACAUGGCUAUACUAUCCACCAUGUGGAGAAGCGUGGGCACCUCGGAGGAAAGGUUCUGAUCCCAACAAGAGAUCACCUCACCUGAACUUCGAGGCGUACAACACAUGCCUCCAUUUAGCGAAGUUGAACGCCAAAGGAAGAAACCUCUGCAUGGCUGCACCAUCCAUCAUGUGAGAAAUCAUGGGCACCUCGAAAGAGAGGUUCCGAUCUCAAUAGGAAAUUACCUUGCCUGAACUCCGAAGCAUAUGCCACAUGCCUCCCUUUGGCGAAGCUGAACGUCAAAGGAAGAAGCGUCUGCAUGGCUGCACCAUCCACUAUAUGGGGAGCGUGGGUAUCUCGAAUGAGGGGUUUCGAUCUCAAUAGGAUAUCACCUCACCUGAACUCCGAGGCGUGCACCACAUGCCUCCCUUUGGCGAAGCUGAACGUCAAAGGAAGAAGCCUCUGCAUGACUGCACCAUCCACCAUGUGGGAAAGCAUGGGUACUUCGGAGGAAAGGCUCUAAUCUCAAUAACAGAUUACCUCGCCUGAACUCUGAGGCGUAUGUCACAUGCCUCCCUUUGGCGAAGCUGAANNNNNNNNNNNNNNNNNNNNNNNNNNNNNNNNNNNNNNNNNNNNNNNNNNNNNNNNNNNNNNNNNNNNNNNNNNNNNNNNNNNNNNNNNNNNNNNNNNNNNNNNNNNNNNNNNNNNNNNNNNNNNNNNNNNNNNNNNNNNNNNNNNNNNNNNNNNNNNNNNNNNNNNNNNNNNNNNNNNNNNNNNNNNNNNNNNNNNNNNNNNNNNNNNNNNNNNNNNNNNNNNNNNNNNNNNNNNNNNNNNNNNNNNNNNNNNNNNNNNNNNNNNNNNNNNNNNNNNNNNNNNNNNNNNNNNNNNNNNNNNNNNNNNNNNNNNNNNNNNNNNNNNNNNNNNNNNNNNNNNNNNNNNNNNNNNNNNNNNNNNNNNNNNNNNNNNNNNNNNNNNNNNNNNNNNNNNNNNNNNNNNNNNNNNNNNNNNNNNNNNNNNNNNNNNNNNNNNNNNNNNNNNNNNNNNNNNNNNNNNNNNNNNNNNNNNNNNNNNNNNNNNNNNNNNNNNNNNNNNNNNNNNNNNNNNNNNNNNNNNNNNNNNNNNNNNNNNNNNNNNNNNNNNNNNNNNNNNNNNNNNNNNNNNNNNNNNNNNNNNNNNNNNNNNNNNNNNNNNNNNNNNNNNNNNNNNNNNNNNNNNNNNNNNNNNNNNNNNNNNNNNNNNNNNNNNNNNNNNNNNNNNNNNNNNNNNNNNNNNNNNNNNNNNNNNNNNNNNNNNNNNNNNNNNNNNNNNNNNNNNNNNNNNNNNNNNNNNNNNNNNNNNNNNNNNNNNNNNNNNNNNNNNNNNNNNNNNNNNNNNNNNNNNNNNNNNNNNNNNNNNNNNNNNNNNNNNNNNNNNNNNNNNNNNNNNNNNNNNNNNNNNNNNNNNNNNNNNNNNNNNNNNNNNNNNNNNNNNNNNNNNNNNNNNNNNNNNNNNNNNNNNNNNNNNNNNNNNNNNNNNNNNNNNNNNNNNNNNNNNNNNNNNNNNNNNNNNNNNNNNNNNNNNNNNNNNNNNNNNNNNNNNNNNNNNNNNNNNNNNNNNUUUUUUUUUUUUUUUUUUUUUAAGGGAUUAAAAUUUGAAAAUUCCUUUUAAUUAUUUUCUGUCUGAUCUUCCAAAGAAAUCGUUUGUUCUUGUCAAAUACUUUAUUGUAAAUGUAUGGAAUCAGGGAAAUUGGCACAAGUCAAGAAUAAUUCCAUGAAGUCAUUGUUGCAUCUACCCUAUUUGAUAAGAUUGGACCUUUACAAUAUGUCAACAUUUUUCCUUAACACUCAACACAUUAACAUUACCUUUAAAAAAAAAAAAAAAAGAUUCGUCCAUACAUUGCACGGGCAUGACACCAGUAUAUAUAAAAGGAACUACAAAAGGGGGGAAAAAUGCUUUAUCUCCUUUCCCACACUGCCACCUUUACCUACCCCAUUCUCACCAAAUAAUGUCAUCUAGUACCACCAGUACAAUAACAUCAAUUUAGGUGGUGCUAUGUGAUAAGUUCAAUAAAUAGUGAAAUUAAAUGACUCAUUAUACUUCUCAUUUAAUACCACAUUAGUAUCACAUAAACUAUUGUUGAAACAUUAUUAGUGCUAUUCCACUCCAACGCAUCAAAACCAGUCCAGAUGAUGAAUUUAUUGUGAAUGAAUGUGCUUCAUUCUUCAAAUUAAAUUUAUAUUUCAUUAAUAAUAAGAACACAAACUUCAGCUAAUUUUUGCAACGGUUCAAAUAUUUAGAUAAAUAAUUAUUGACAGAGUCUAUGAGAGAUCGAUAAUCUACUUCACUCUUAUACUAGUUUUCAUGUGUCAUACAUACUGUCAUUUUAGGAGUUUUUCGUUAUUUCAGAAUCAGUGUGCAUUUAAUUCAAGUUUCAUACCAUUAGUUUUCUUGAUUAUGAAUUGAUUUCUUCAAUAUAAUCAUGUUUCGGCUUUUCAUAGAAAAAAAAAAAAGUGUCAUACAUUUACAAUUUUCGCGAACGUGCAUCGACUUUUUAUUAUUGAGAACGAAAUCUGUGCUUAUUUAGUAUAUAUUUUAAGAUAACUAUGUAUUAUUAAUUUAUUAUUUCACCAUAAUUGCUUCAAUACGUAAUCAUAGUCUAUCAACUUAUGUUAGGCUUUUCCACGCGUUUCUCUAAAGAAUUUGCUUGCUUUUGGAAGUGCUUGAAUUAAAAUUUCUUAUAUCGUCUUGUGAAUUAAUUUUAUUAGUAUGAAAGAGUCGUUUUUGUAUCAACUAUCAAUAAGAGGGCUAAAGUUUUAUCCUACUUCGACUUUAUUUAUGUUCUAGUAAUGCUAUUCACAGUUGUUCACUGCGAUAAUCGCCCUACGUGGCAUCCUAUGUGGUCGUUUGUGAUUUGAUAUAUUAAUUUGGUAGUUUUUUGUUACCACAUAUAUCAAAUCACUAACCGUCAUAUCUGUGCCACAUAGGGUGACUGCGGUAGUGAGUGAUUGUAAAUAGCAUUAUUCUUUAUAUUAAGGUAAUGUGAACUUCAAAGUGUUUCAGUUGUGUUUCCAACAAAUUUGAUCGAAUUGAGUAUUUAAGAUAUUGAUAUCAUAAAUAUGUUCACAAAUAGGGUAUAACAUAUUUUAAUCAAGAAUCACGUGAAUUCUCAAUCAAAAUGAAAACGAAGUAAAUAUAUAUAAAUUAGAAAAAGAAAGUUAUAUGUUAACCCUAAUUCUUGACCAUUGAUAUAAUGUUAAAAUUUUGCAUUUUCUAUCAACUAUGACUUUUAAGAAAAAUAGUUACAUCUUACUACAUGAGUUGAUACCAAUAGUUGCACAAUUUUAAAGAGAAUUAGUAAGGCUACGGUUGGUUUGGCGUUUUCGGACUAUUUUUCAAUUUCUAUUUUCAAAAAAGCGGGAAAUACGUUUGGUCGAUCGUUUUCGAAAACGAGUUAAAAUUUAUAACUGAAAAUGCAAAACGAUUUUUUAUCAUUUUGAACGUUUUCAAUUAUAAAUUCUCAAAACACGAAAAACGCUCAAAACAUGCCAUUUUCGGAAAAAACUAAAAAUCGUUUUGAAACCGAAAAUGAAAAAUGAGAAAUUAAACCAACCGUAGCCUAAGAGACUUUAUUUUACGAUCUCUCCGUCUAUUUUACAUCUUGUCAGACGUCUAUUCAAUUGAUCAAUUACAUGAAUUCUAGUAUAUCAACAUAGUUUUUUUCCAAGUUUAUAUUCUAAAAAUUAUUACUUUCAACAAUAGAUAUUUAUUAAAAGCAAAGCCACCACGAGCACUUAUUGAAAAAAAAUAAUGACCCACAAAUGAGUACUAUAAUGGACGGUAGAGACUAGAUAGGCUUGUUGGGUUGUUGAAAAGACUCAUCAAAGUGUGUGUCUGUGCGUAAAUUUUAUGGACUUCAUGAUGUCUAUUUCAGUGUAGGGACGAAAAUGGGUAAUUGGCAUAAAAUGUCCAUAUCUUUCGAGAUUAUCGUGAAAAAUGUCUCUACUAUUUAUUUUUUGAUAUUUUUGCCUCCAUUUUCACCUUUUUCUGCUCUGAACGUCCUUUUCACCAUUUUAGACGUAAAAUGACCAAUAUAUCAUUCUAUUUAAACAAAACAAAACAAAAAAAAGGGGAAAAAUUGCAACUAUAGGCCCAAACUUUUCAUAUGUGCAAAUGAGUCCAAAAUGAAGAAAACCCGUCUUUCACGACUCACCACAACUCCACCGCCGGCCUCCACCUCAACAACCACCACCGAAACUGACUGCCAUAAACCUCCCAUGGGCCGGCUGCUUCUUUUGCUGACUGCCAGCACUAAUUUAUACGCAAAACUAAGCUUUCAACACGAGUAGAAGUAUCAAGGCAAAGAAGCAACAAAAUGAAAAUAAUUUCUUCAAUGGCACAGUUUAUAGGGUCUUCCAUUUACUUUGAGUGAAGAACAGCUACAGGGUGCGUCAUAAGUUGACAACAGAUUUCCACUCCAAAACAAUCCAUCAAUUAAUCAAAUUCCCCACCCACCCCGACCCCUCUCCUCCACCACACACACACACACUCACUCACUCACAGAACCAUUUACCCAAUUUUAUUAUUGAAAUUUCGUCAAUACGCUGACAGUAUUUGUUAGUUUACUCAUACCCAUAGCAUUUUUAUUCUUGAACAUACAAUGAUCAUUGUUAUCAAUUUGGAGGAUAAAUGGAAAAUUUAAAUCCAGAUUCCAGUGCCUUGGUUUUCUUUCUGGGCUCGCUUGCUUUGCUUAUGUUGUACAGUACAGGUCCAUUAUCAAUUUGGAGGAUAAAUGGAAUUCUUCUAGCAGAAGCAGCUGCUGAUUUGGUGGCACCGUACAGAUCCAUUAUCUGGAGGUUCGAUGAGCAGAAGUCCGCUGAGAAAACAGAAUGCAUCAUUUUUCAGCUUAAGGAUCUCAAGAUUUUCCAACAUUUCUAGAGUGACUGGAGUGGGGCUGAGGUGUGGAAGACGGUUUUUUAAAUUUUGGAUUCAUUUGCACAUAUGAAAAGUUUGGGACUAGGCUUGCAAUUUUUUUCCUUUUCAUUUUUUAUUUUGUUUAAAUAGGAGGAUAUAUUGGUCAUUUUACGUCAAAAAUGUUGAAAAGGACAAUCAGCGCAAAGAAAUGUGGAAAUAGGGCAAAAAUGUCAAAAAAAAAAAGUAUGGACGUUUUCCACAAUAAUCUCGAAGGUAGGAACGUUUUGUGUCAAUUAAUAAAGCCUUAAGUACAUGCUUUAUUGUCGGAUUUUUUACAGGGUGCUGACAUGUCCUGUGGCCUGUUUUCCUUUUUGUUUUAUUACCUUUUUUUUCUUCCAAUGGAAACCCUCCAAGUGUUACUCUGUAAAUUUUCUGUUGAUUAUACUGUACUUAUAGCAUUGUUCUAAUCAACAAAUAAUUAGUCAAACCUUAUAAAGGAAGAUCAAUAUUCAAUUUCCAUUUGAUAACAGAUUACACGUCCCUUAAAAAUUCUGACUAUGAAACAGUUUCGUUUCAAAUAAAUAAUAUAUACAUAUUUUUUUUUUUUUCAAUUGUCUAGCAAUAUCUAAUUUACAUUACUAGAUACUCGUUAAGGAAUAAAAAUCUCACUUUGAUUAAAUAUCGAAAUGUUGAUCAAUUUAAAAAAAAUUUGGAUUAUCCUUCUUAAUAUGGUUGACAUUUUAAGAUGGAAUCUCAAACUUUAACAUAAUAUCAGAGCUCAUUAAACUCCAACGAGCAAUUCGAUCAAAUUAAGACUCUAAAAAUAAGCACACGAAUUUCAAUAUUAGUCUGCUCAAACGAACCACCAUCUUGCGGGGGCAUGUUAAAGAUAAAAAUCUCACAUCAGUUAAAUACCAAAAUAUUGACCAAUUUAAAAAUAUAUUAAGUUACUCUUCUUAACAAGGUUAAUAUUAUUAAGAUGGAACCCCAAAUCUCAACAUAGUAUCAGAGCCCAUUAAAUUUCAACGAGUAAUUCGAUCUGAUUAACACACUAAAAAUUAGCACACAAAUUUUAAAAUUUGUCUGCUCAAACGAGCCAUCAUCUUGAAGGGGCAUGUUAAGGGAUAAAAAACUUACAUCGGUUAAAUACUGAAAUAUUGACCAAUUUAAAAAGAUCUUGGAUUACUCCUCAUAAUAUGGUUGACCUCUUAACUAAACGUCAGUAGAAUAUAAGCUACGUGAAUCUUAUUUUUUCAGAUAAACUUGAAAUUAUCGACAAUUCUUUCGAAAACACUACUCACAAUAGUCCAUACGAAAUAUACUCGCUUCUUUGGGUCAUGAAUGUCAGUUUUAUGCUUGAGAUAAACCUAUGCUACCCCUUCCCUUUCUUACUCCGAGAGCUCAUCGGGAGGUCUCAAUGAGAUACUCACGAGGUUCCAAGGAAUAGCUACUCGUGAUUCAGGACCCCAAGAACUCUCAACUCGGAUAUGGUUAGAGGGGAUGGAAGAAAGGUGGAACAUAGGAAUGUAAAAAAGGUUCGAUAUUUUUCCAAGAUUCUUUCUCACUUUCUACUAGUCAAAAAACUAUGAUGAGUCUCAUAAAAAGUAAUAUUAUGUGUGUAGCAAAGACCAAAAUAUGAAGUUUGAUAAUAUAUUCACCUUUAAAAUAAGUAUUAAGUAGCACAUAAGAUAUAUUAAAACAUAACUAUGUUUUACUUCUACUUCAAGAUGAAAUAUGAACUAAAAUCUACUGAAUGAAUUGGUAUCUCAAAGGAACAGAUGUGCCUUUUCCAACUUCAGUAAUCGAAUUUGACCUGGUUUUCCCCUUCAAAAAACUUGCGUACCAGCGCGCUGAAAGCUUUUGAUAUCUUCUCAGGUCUUUGUCAUCCAAAUCUACGUAGUAAAAGCCGAAGGAAGUCCCAUAGCCAUCUAGUAACUCAAGACCGUCUAAGAAGGUCCACGCAAAGUACCCUUUUACGUUCGAUCCAUUUCUUCGAGCAUUCCAGAAUGAAAAUUGAGAAUAAGAGAAACCACAAUCAGAGACACAAAAAUCUUACCAGAAUCAACUUGAUAUUUACUCUUUUAAAUCAAAUAUAAAAAAUAUCUGGAUAGUUGUAUAUGUGAGUUCAAAGAACUUGUAGCAGAGCAGCACCUGCAAGUUACAAGAACACAGUGCCAGUAUCCAGUAAAGGUAGAAGUUUCAACAAUGCUACGGAGAUUAUAAAGAUGAAAGUUUGUAAAGGUCGGGGGACGAUUAGUUUUGCCUAGACAGUUGGUGCCCUCUAUAUUGAACCACCUUAUCUAAAAGCUUAAACUGUUAAGAGAAAACACAUUUAUUCAUUCAAAUUUAAUCUUCAGCACCCCUUCAUGUGCAUGCCAAGUUCAGCUCUUAUCAAAGGCCUGACACAUGCACAAUAUUCACAAAUGUAUAGCAGUGAGACAUGAAGGUCUUUUGUUUGAUCUAAUACAAUGUUGAACUACUUCAUUUAAAAGCUUAAGUUGUUAGAGACGUGAUAGGUUUAUUUAUUCAAAUUUAGUCUUCAACUUAUAUUUUCUACAAAGGAGACACUAUAUGCUUUUAUUUGGUGGUGUCUGUGUCACAGAAAGUUGGGUACUCAUCAAGGAAGAUAGAUUGUUUUCCGAAUGCCAAGUCGUUGCUAGAAAAUGGCAGGAUAUGUUGCAAGUGCAAGGUAUCAAGCAAAGUUGUUGUCAAUGUGGUGAAGGAAUGUGGUGAACAAGAAAGCAGAAAGUAGCAAGUAGCAACCUACUUCAGGAUAUUUUUGUAUAGCUUUCAUAAUAAUUUUGGAUAAUGCUAUUGAAAUAUCAAGCUAAAAGUUUUCAGAUUCAACCUUAAAUGGAAAAAACUAGAAGAAUAAACAGUCUCGUGAAAUUCUUGUUGUCCUGUACUUCAAGAAUCUUACAUGGAAUUGCAAAGGCUCACCUCAGAGCAUCAAGCAAGCUCCCAAUGUAAGCUUGAAAAUAUUCAACCCGUGGCGUGUCAUUUAGCGUUCCAUUGCGACGCGUCAUCUGACCUGCAAAAGCAACUCUUUCCUAACUAAAUUGUCUAAUCUGGGUAAAAUCAAAAAGCUCUUUCACAUCAAUUUUGUUCAAUCAGAAAAUAGUAUGGAAUGGAAGCCUAAUAAAUAGGAACAAUGCAAUCUAUUUCAAUCGUUGCUGAUUUUCUCUUCACAUAAAUAUUCUUAAAAGGUUGCUAAUUAGCAUAUUCCCUGCUCCCAAGUGUAGGAGGUAAUUAACAGGACCCUUUGAGAGAAACCACAGGGGAGUAAAAAUGUACCAUCCGUUACUAAACAUUAGGAUAAAAGUAAAAGAGCUUAAGUUGACGAGCAUUUCUAGACGAUGGUUAUAAUCAAUAAACAGUCCAAGAUCCACUUUUUCAAGAUGCACGUGUCUCUAGUUAGUUACCUGAAGUCGGUUUCUUCAAUAUAGGAAGUGAAGGAAAGUUGAAUACGCUCCUAGAAUAUAGAGGGAUGGAGGGACACAUUACAUUAAGAAAGCACAUGGCACAUAGCACACUUGAACUGCAACAUGCAAGUUCAAAUAAAUCACGAGGAUAUGAUUUAUAGUGAUCUUUUUUUAAGCAAACAGUUAAAUGAGAUAACAAUAUAUUCACAAUUGUUGUCUGCAGAAUAAUGACAGUGUUAUAUCGAUAAAGUGACGUCCCCCCAAAAUUCAAAAAAAAAACUCUUGAAGCUGGGGCCAAACAUCAGUAAGGAUAGUGAAUAUUUAUGCCUUAAAAAUGAUAUUUUCUUUGUGAUUUUGCAAAAAUAUUUCCAAGCUAUGUGAAUAGGAUCCUUAACACUGGGCAUCAAUUACCACGACGAUAAGUAUGACUUUAACAUAGUUGGAGUAUAAAUGGUAAUAGAGGAUAUGGCGCAACCAAGAACAUGCAUCAAAAGAGGAAAUGGAUAAUCUUAUACUCGAGGUCUCAAGCAUUUGGUAAGGUGUUGAGAAAAUGGAAGUAGGAUAUUUCAGUAUGUCCAUUGAUUUAUAGUGACUUUCUUGUUAAAUCAAACUCUCAAUUACCAUCUCAGAUGAAGGCUUUUGGUUCAUUUUGCAUAGGCACUGACCUUCAUUCGGGACAAGGGUGGUAGCUUCCUUCAUAUAAUUACCAAAAAACAAUGUAAACAAAACCAACGCAUGGAAAAGCACAGAUGCAUGUGUAGACACACACAGACACAUUGCGUCGAAGAGUUUGUGCGUUACUGUGUGCGCAAAUAGAGAGAGAGAGAGAGAGAGAGAGAGAGAGAGAGAGAGAGAGAGAGAGAGAACCAUUUUCAUGGAUAUAAACAGGCUGAUUUCCAUAAACUUGUUUUAGAUACUCCAGCACUCCAUAGAGACCCGAAGGCAGCACGGGAUACUUAGCAACACAAAAAAUUAAAUUUUUAGAGUCAAUUAUUGAUAUAAAGAACAAAUAGACAUCGUAAAGUUAUUUAGAAUCACCUGAUCUUGUGGCGUGUCACCCUGUUGCUCUACAGCAACCCGAAAACAUGACAAGUUUAGUAAAUAUAGAAUAACAAUAGCACUGGUCAAUUAGUUGGACACAGAAAACUAUCACUCUCAAAAAUCCCACGUAAGGAGCAACAUUUUCUUAAGGAAAGAAUACUAGUGGAAGCUAAAAUUAAACAGGUAGAACAAUAAGCUUUAGCAACACGUGAAACAAAAUGAUGAGGCAAUUAAGCCAGUGAAUCUAUUCAGACGACUCCGCAGCUGGUAAUUCUGCGUUAACAAGUUUGUAUUCAAUAAAGCAUGAAAGUCUUACCUAUUAUCUGUGCAGCAAGGUCAGCAGAAAAUCCACCGUUGUCUGCUUCAAGGAUGCUGGGAUUAUCCUUGACGAAAGCUGUUGUGUAGUGGUUCACUCCUAUGAAGUCAACUGAACCCUUAAUUUGCUCAGAUUCAAGUUUGGUGAAGGUUGGAAUUCUUGUUUGGGCAUUUUUCUUUACUGUUUCAGGAUAGUCUCCAAAAAUCAAGGGAUCAAUUAACCUGCAGUACACAUUGAACAUAAACUCGGCAUGUCUACGAGCGAAAACUUUCUCGACUCCAAAUCAGCCUACUGUUGGACCAUUCUAGCCAAUUAUUGGACCUUCCGACAUACGGGAGGAAUUGAAUGGUAAAUUUAGGGGCCAUUUGUUUUCCAUUUUUGUAAAAAUGAGAAUGAAAACUAUCAUCGUUAUGGACAACACACAAGAAGUAGAAAUUCAAAUUUGGUGACUUGAUGUGAUGGAUGACGGUCAUAUUUUUCAUUUUAAUGGGGAAAGAAUGGAAAACAAACAGGAACUUAGUAACUAUUCAGAGUUUCAACUUACCACCCAAUAAAAAAAUCAUUAGCUCUUUGAGUUGCAAUUAAAUCUUCUGUUGCAUUGGUGUAGGGUUCAAACCACAUAGUAUAGAUGUUAAAUCCCACGUAACCUUUUUGGAUGGCCUGUAUUUGAACACAUUAUUCCCAAAAUACACACAAGCAUAAAUGCUGAGACACUAGCUAACACAUAUGCCUCUUUUGUUACAUUUCUCAUAUUGAUUACCAAUUUUUUGAAAACAAAAUAUAUGCUGAGAAUUUAGAAACAAAUCCAUGCAAAUGCGAGAAAUUGAAAGCACGAACGAUACCUGGUAUUUGGCCCUAUAUAGCCUCACAACAGCUGCAUGUGCCAGCAAGAUAUUAUGCCCCGCAAUGUAUGUUUCAUUAGAGGAAUUACCCCAAGAGCACCUUGUUCUGUCUGAACAGCGCCCUGGGGCAAUGAUACCUUGAUCAUAACCACCCACGGCAAAUAUAUUGGCCUCGUUAACGGUAGUCCAGUAUAAAACCCUGUCACCAAAUUCCCUGAAGCACACAUCUGCAUAUGCCGUGAAGUCCUUCCUGAAUCACAAACACCCUAAGUUUCAUUUAUGUCUCUGUGUCAAGAAUGUAAAAGUAGCAAAAGAUGUAGACAUAUUAAAAUUAUGUUAUUAAAGAACAUACAAAAUCUUCCUACUAAGCCAUCCUCCAUACUCAUCUUCGAGUGCUUGUGGUAGAUCAAUAUGAUUUAAUGUAACAUGUGGUUGAAUUCCUGUAUGAUGACAAAUUUUUUAAUUUGGAAGCAGUGAGAGAUAAAUCUUUGAUGGACUAUAGGAUAUAAUGCAUUUCCUAUAAGUAAGAACAUAAAAUUUGUAGGAAAUUCUGUAAUCACCACAGCUUAUGAGUUCAUCGAUAAGAUUGUUGUAGUAAUGUAACCCCUUUUGAUUGAUAGGUCCUCUUCCAUCUGAAAAGACAGUAGACCAUGUGAGUAAAAGAAAAAUAUACAUUUUUCUUUGAACACGGCAUGAUGCAGGUGAACAUACUAGGAAUAAGUCUUGACCAUGAUAUGGAGAUUCUGAAGGCCUCCAAAUUUGUCUCAACCAUCAGUUGGAUAUCAUCCUGCAUGAUGAGGUAUAAUUCCCUUGGUGCAUGUUCAAAUAACCAUGUGAACAAUGUUCAAAAGACAACUUUUAUACGAUCCAGAUAUUUCCGAGUCUUUGAUCGGGGAAGAAUACAAGAAAAAUAUGUGUCAUGCACUCAAAAGGUUUUCACUAUAUGAAUGAAAGACUGCAAUGCUAGCACCUUCACUAAAUACACCAAGGCCCUGUUUGCACCACAUUCCUUGGAAAAAAUGUAUUCUUAAACAGUGAUUUAACAUUAUUUCAAUCACACAUUCUUCAAUAAAAUGAUAUUACACGCAAAUCCAAAAUUGUUCCUUAUUUUUUAACAACACAUUUCUCAUCAAUACACUAUUCAAAAAUGCAUUUUGAAGAAAAUAAUAUGGCUUAAACAAGGGCUAAAUGAUGCAGAAGUACCCCGUGCAUCCCACCUUGGAAAACAGAAGAGUUUAAAGGAAAAACCAAAGAAAUUCCUGAAUCUGCUAGCAAUGGAGCAAAUGAUGGAAUAGCUAACCAUGCCUAUAAGCCUCUUGGCUAAAAUUACUAAUGGUAAUCAAAUCUUGAGGUUCAUGGAAUAAUAUCCAUACAAGUGUGCAAUUGUUGCUUGAGGGGAAAGAAAACGAUGAAAGGGAAAGAAAUAUAUGUUAAAUUAGAGCUUCAGCCGUGUGUCCACCUUGUAUUUAUGAUAUCCAUCACACGCUAUGUCUCCAUUGGCUCCAUUUGUAUGGCCUGAAAUUUUUAAAUAGGAGGAUAUAUUCAAUACGGUGAUAUUCAGAUCAACGAUUUACAUCAUUGAAUCUACUCCACUAUUAGCAGCUCUACGCACCAGAAUCUGAAAUCAGACCAUUUCACUCAUUAAUGGUGAAAAAAAAAAAUAGCCUCUUAUGCUUCUAUAAAAAAAUAAAAAAUAAAAAGAAAGAAAAACCGUGCCUCUUGCCAUUACAAGGAGUUUUUUCUCCUGUUUGUGUAGAGUGGCAUUCCCAUAAUAGCGAAUUGAAAAGCCAUAAUCACGGGAUGUCAAGAAUAGGUAACUUAACUUUAUUUCUUUUGUUUGCAAUGACAGAAAAAAAAAUUUGGAUAAGAAAAACCUCUCCAUAGCCACUAAUGAGUUAGUAGAAUGCAGAUUAAGGCAUUAACAUUUAUGAAACACUUUUGGCCCAAAAACAUCAUGACAUAUGUGCCUUAAACUUUAUAAUUAUCAGAUCAUUUUGAUCAAAACUGAAUCCUCUUCAAUGAUGUAAUAGAUUAUUCCAUUAGAAUAUUUAUGAAAAUAUCUGCUAAACACUUGAACCAUUUUUAGUUUUCGAACUGGUGUAGCAGCUUUUCUGCCAGAUUCUUAUAUGAACCAGCACCAUCUUAACUGUAACAACUUAUUUCUUAAUGGUUCACUCUCAGUAGGGAAAUUUAGCUGGAAUAGGAGUCAGUUCUACCAAAAUUUCCUUGUGAACAAGGAGAGGAGCAAAAUGAGUUGGUAAAAUACAUUUGCAAAAUUGAAUUAUGCACAUGAAGUCAAUGUUUGUCUACUUAUUAAUGUACAGGAUCAUGACAUUGCGGAGAAUUAACAGAAAACAAAGACCUAGAAGUAUAAAGAGAAGAACUAGAGACGAGUACAGACCAGAAUGUGCAAAGGUGUCCCAAAUGCUAGGACUUCUCCCAUCCUCAGAUGCUGCGCCUUCAUACUUUUAAUAGAAUGACAAAGAAACAUUCAUCAGUUUUAUUCAGGCAAAGCUUCAGAUAGGAAUUAGAAUACUGAUCCAGUGAAAAGAGAUUGUUAUUUGAUUAUCAUUAAAUACGAAGCAAAACUAUAAUUUUCAAUGUUCCUACUAAUUAAGCUAAUAUUUUCAGUUCCCUCGUAAUUUGAGGCUACAAUGUUGGGGAGACAAAAGGAAAUAAGGCCUUCUUUUUCAAAAUUGCAUAAACAAAUAUUUUCUUUUUAUUGUCAGAAUCAGAAUAUACUUGUUUCUUUUUUUACGCUCCCUACUUCCUCACCAUCACCAUUUUUCUUAUCCACAUCCCUGCUACCCAUGCCACCAUCUCCUAUCCCCCCUACUCCCACCUACCAGCUCGCUCUUCCAAUUUGCAUUUCCAGUAUUAAGACUUGGUUUACCAUCAUUUAAGAGAAGUAUCAUAAGUCCUUAGAAGUCAAUGUUCUAAAAAGCGCAAAGUGUAUGUAGGCGUGGCGACAAAAUUUCAAGCUUUACGAGCUUAGGCGACGCCUGGGCGUAAAAAGUCUUUUUUUUUUUUAAUAUUAUUUUUUAUUUUUAAAGUUAUUUAAUAAUUAAAAUUAUACAUAUCAAAGAUCUAGAAUUAUAAAACAUUAUAUUUACUUAAUAAUUCCUACAAUUAGUUAAUUAUCCAAUUUUUAAGUUUUUGAAAUGUAGAAGUUAGACUAUUUUUCAUAGUUUUAAUUUUCAACUAGACAUGUCUUACUAAAUCGAUUUAUAGAAACUCUAUAUAUGAUUUCAAAGUUUUCAACAAAAUAAUGAGCAUCAAGAUUAUAAUUACGUAAUAUAGAUAGCACUAUAGCUUAAAUCUUAUUUAACUUUUUAUCCGAUAAAAUUAUUGUUAACUUUUGUACAAUAAAGUCUUUUAAAAAUUUGAAGUUAAUUCAAAUGAAAGUUUUUUCAAAAAAUAAAAAACUAAUAAACUAAAGUCGAAUAAAAUAUUUGUUAAUAAAAGGAAAAAAAUAAAAAAUUUAACAAAGCGCACUUAGGGAAGACAGAUGAAAAGAAGGAAAAAAAUUAGUCGUUUAAAAAUUGAAAAAAAAAACAAAAAACAAAAGGGCCUAGGUGCAAAGCAAGGUGUUUUGCCAGAGCUUCAAGUGUAGACGAGCUUUUUAGAACAAUGAUUAUAGUCAAUAUUUAAUCUAUGUGAGAUUUUUCCCUUAACAUUCAGGACCUACCAAAGUUGUUCCUGGGUCCUAGUAGCAAAUCCAAACCUCCUCCGUAAGAAGGGAAAGGAGCCGUGUAUUCCUACUUUAAUAAAUCUAAAAUUACUCUCUCCAUUCUAUUUAUAUGGGUUUGUUUUGUUUUUAACACGGAUUGAUAAAUUUUAUUUAAUGUUAUUAAAAAAAUAUUUUUUGUCAAAAACUUUUCUAAUUUGUCCUUAUUUAUAUUUGUACAACUUCAACAUUAAGUAGAAAAAUUGACCAUAACUAGUAAGUAACGGUAUAUUAUUAAACGAAUAAAACAAAACAUUCUCAAUAAAGAAACAAGACUAUAUAAUUAGGACAAGAAAAUAAGAAAAGUUAGUUAUAUAAGACAGAGGGAGUGUUUUUUCCUUUUUUUUCUUUUUUUUUUCUUUUUAUUUUUUUUAUUUUUGUGAGUGCAAGAAGAAGCUUCGUAAGUACACCAAAGACGCAGAAAAUUUUGCAUGUAAUUUUGCCUAUAUCUCUACAUUUUUUCACUGAAUGAAAGUUCAAAAUUGAUAAGAGUAAUUUAGGUUUAAUCAAUGUCCCCAACCAAUUAUUCCAAGUUAAUCAGUUCACAUAAUCUAAGAACAAACAAACUGGAAAAUAAAUAAAUUGCAGCUAACUUGAUAAGCAGAAGUUCCAGAACCAAAAACAAAGUCAGCCGGAAAAUCCGUUCUGCUAUAAUGAUCAACGCAGUGAACCGCCACCGGUAAAUGCAACACCAGAAAUAGCAAACCAAUAUACAAGCUAAUUUCACGCAUAUUCUUCCAAUCGCUUGGAUUUUGCUCUUACCCACUACUGAAGCCCUUGUCAGUUUCUUCCAUUUUUAUACAUAAAUACUCCAUCAGCAAACUACCAAGCAAAGUUCUCACAUAACCAAUGACGUAUACAUAAUUUUAAAUAAACUUUCCUUCAAAUAAGCACUUAUUUGAUGUAAAAAAACUUAGUUUAUCAAUCAAACAUGCACCGCACUUUAUGACUUUUCCACCUUGGAAAGUUUGUUCUUUCUGGAAAAAAUUGAGUUCAUCGUCCUAUUUUAUUGCUCGAGCAAGAAAUUUGUCACUGUCAUGAUAGUUCCCAUUAUGAUAGCUUAACUUGUAUGUUUACUCUAAUCACUAGAGCCAAGCACAAAAAACAGGCCAUGUAUUUCUUAUCUUGAUUUUGUUGUCUACUGGAAAAUGCUGAUCAUCGGCCGACUAUUCCGCUAAAUAUCUAUCUCGAAUGCUGUUCAAGUCGUACUCAACUUGGAAUAAAGUGUGCGAUACUUAAAUUAAUAAAUAACUUAUAUACACGAGAUAAGUAUAUAAACCCGGUGUCUAUUUGUCAUAUAAUGACUUGUUCAAGGAUUCAUUGUUGUUUACCGUGUUUUUAUGUAAUUGGAAUAAGCUCCAAUUUAAAGGACAUAUAAACAAAAGAAUGAUCGAAAACGAAUAUCAAAAGCUGAAAGAAGUGAACAGAUGCAGAGAUCUUUACCAAUUGAAUUUUAGAGUUCUAUGCAAUUUAUAGCUCACAGUUUGGAGUUUUAUAUCAAACGAUAUACAUAUUUUACUCCGAUGGUUAGAAAAGUGCCACAAAGGUGGGGUACUUGCGAUCGCAAGAAGGCCAGGGAAUAAGCCAUACUCGAUACAACUUGCAAGCUAAAAUUCUACGGCCCUGAGUCGAUGUUUCUAAGUCUGAUUCUGGUGUAAUUUGAUUGAUGAAUUGAGGGUAAUUUGGGGUUAAUAUUGACCGAAAAAGAGAAAUGCUUCAACUUAUAAAUGGCUAAUUAUAUAUUUGUACUACAAAUUUUAAUUACCAUACCACAUUAUAAUUACACCACAAUUAAAAUAUAUUUUUAAUAAAUACACUACAAUAAGUUUACAAUUAUACUCCUAAUUUUCAAUAAAAAUAAAAAAUUGAAAAGAACAUAAUAUAAUAUUGUGGUGUACUUAUCACCAAUAUACCUCAUUUUCUCAACCUUCUCCUCAUUUAUUUCAUAGCAAUUGAAAAUAGAAUAUUGGUGAAGAACACCAUGCCAUAAUAAAUUGAAUGUUUGUCACAAAUAAUUAAUAUGCUCGAAAGGAUCAUUUGAAGUUGUCAGUAAUUUAUUUGUGUUACCUUUUUUAUUCGAAAUAUGAAUUUUUAAUGUAUUCACAAUUUCAUUAUUUAAUCUUGGAUAUCUAUUUUGGAAACACUUAAGUGGAAAUUAAGUGCUUGUUUGAUAGAGAUUUUGUUAAUGAAUUUUUUUGACCUUUAGAGAUAAAGUGGGUCCUACCUGUAAAAGAAAAAUUCAAAAAUGACUGUUGGAAUAGUAAAAUAACGAUCAAAAAAUUGGUUUUAAUUGACUUUUAAACUGUACCAAACAAACUCUAAGAAAUUUUAUUGACAACAACAUUAUAAUUUAAUGGAUAUAAUGUUUUAAUAAUUCAUCGGACACAUUUAAAACCCAACUUGAGGAAGCAUCUAUGACAUAUUUUUGAUAAACUAGACAUGUCUCAGAAUUGAAUUAUCAGACAUAAAUUUAAUAUUUGAUUUAUUCAUACUUAGUCAAUAGUAAAGUAUUGUGUAUAAUCAUAUAUAUUGAAGUCAAUAUCAUUUUCCUAACAUUUAGGACAAAUAAAUCGAAUUAUGAUAAGUUAUAAAAAAUUUAAAUUUAUUAUGAUCCUAUAAAAAAUAAAAUAUAACAAUAAAAACUUCUUGUUGAUUAAGAACAACUUUUGAAAAUUCAUAUACCUCAUAGACAAAAAUUCGCAAAAACUGACGCACCUACAUAUACACAAAUUCAUUUACGAUUUAUCUAUAUACCAUGAGGGAAAAAAUUAUCUUGUCGUCGUGGAAAAAGGCAAUAGUCGUCUGAAAAACUAUGAACAAUGAGAUGUUGAAGAAAAAAAAGAAAAAAAUUAGGCUUUAUAUUUGUGGAGUAACAAUAAUUUAUUUAAUUAAAAAGUAUAUUAAAAUUCUAAUUGUGUAAUUUUACUUAAGGAUAUUUUAGCAGAAAAUUAUGGUGCACUUAGUAAAAUUUGUAGUGGUAAUAUAAUUGCCUUUAAGCUUUAUAUUUGUGGUGUAACAAUAAUUUAUUUAAUUAAAAAGUAUAUUAAAAUUCUAAUUAUGUAAUUUUACUUAAGGAUAUUUUAGUAAAUGAGAAAAUUGUGAUGCACUUAAUAAAAUUUGUAAUAGUAAUAUAAUUACCCCUUAUAAAUACCCUCAAAUGUAAGUCAUUAAAGGAGGACAAUCUAGCACUUGAACAUUCAUUCAAAAGGUAAAUUGCAAAUGGGAUUUGAAAUCUUUCACAAAAGUGCUGCAAGUCCCAACCUUUUUAUUUUUUACAUCACCACUGCAAACAUUUGCAAAAAUAGAAACCAUCUCAAGUUGACUUAACUUCAUAAAAUUAGACGAAUAAACGCCACUUGAAUUAAUAAAGAUGUCGACUAUUACAGCAUGGGACGAACUAAGCAAUUUAAAUGAAAGACUAAAAUCAACUUAAUAUUUUUUUUAAGGUUAAGAACCAACUUGCAAUUUGAACAAUAAGUUGAGAACCAAUCAUGCAAUUUUUUCAAAGUUCAAUUAAUCCAAUAUUGAAGGGAAUGAAAUGGGAUAAAUCUCACGUCUAUUAAAGACGAAACAAAUAGUCAACAUAUAAGAAUAUUAUUCCUAAUAAAAUUGAUGUUUUGAUAAAUUUUAAUGAAAACAACCAAAAAUUAAUCAUUGGAUCAAAAAGCAACAAAAAAAGGGGUGCCAAACUUUUGACUUUUAACCUAUUAGUUUGCAUACUUUGUAUCGUUUAUAACUUAGUUAUCCUCCAGAAUACGUUUCUCCAUUACCAUAUGUAUGCUUCCAUAAUUGUCCAUCGAUGACAUUGAAUAUUCUCUUUUUAUUGUUCGAAUCCGAAUACACUUGUUUCUUCUUUUACACUUCCUACUUCUUCUUCACCAUCACCGGUUUUCUCAUCCACAUCCUUGCUACCCAUGCCACCAUCCCCCAUUCCCCCCUACUCGUGCCUACCAGCUCGCUCUUCCAAUUUGCAUUUCUGGUAUUAAGGCUUGGUGUACCAUCUUUUGAGAGAAGUAGACCAAAUCCUUUAGCUAUAGUCAGUGUUCUAAAAAACGUAAAAUGUAUGUAAGUCCGGAGACAAAGUUUCAAGCUUUACGAGCUUAGGCGAGGCUUGGGUAUAAAAAAUUGUUUUUUUUUUAUUUUUAAUAUUAUUUUUUAUUUUUAAAGUUAUUUAAUAAUUAAAAUAAUACAUAUCAAAGAUCUAGAAUUAUAAAACACUAUAUUUAUUUAAUAAUUCCUACAAUUAGCUAAUUAUCCAAUUUUCAAGUUUACGAAAUACAAAAAUUAGACUAUUUUUCAUAGUUUCAAUUGUCAACUAGACAAGUCCUACUUAAUAGAUUUAUAGGAACUUUAUAUAUGCUUUCGAAGUUUUCAACAAGAUAAUGAGCAUCAAGAUCAUAAUUACAUGAUAUAGAUAGCACUAUAACUUAAAUCUUAUUUAACUUUUUAUCGAAUAAAGUUAUUUUUAACUUUUGUACAGAUAUAGUCUUUUAAAAAUUUGAAGUUAAAGUCAAACAAAAGUUAUUUUAAAAAAUAAAAAACUGAUAAACUAAUUCGAAUAAAAGAUUUUUAAAUAAAAGGGAAAAAAAAUUAAUAUAGCGCACUUAGGGAAGACAGAUGAAAGAAAGGAAAAAAUUUACCGUUUAAGAAUUGGAAAAAAAAAAAAAAUGCACCUAGGCACGAAGCGGGGCAUUUUGUCCAAGCUUGAAGCUUAGGUGAGCUUUUUAAUACGGUGGUUAUAGUCAAUAUUUAAUCGACGUGAAAUUUUCCCCCCAACAUUUAGGACCUUCCAAAUUAGUUCCUGGGUCACAGUAGCAACUCCAGACCUCCUGCGUGAGAAGGAAAAGGAGGUGUGUAUUCCUACUAAUAAGUCUAAAAUUACUUCCUCAAUCUCAUUUAUAUAGGCUUAUUUUGUUUUUAACACGAAUUAAGAAAUUUUAGUUAAUGCUAUUGAAAAAGCAAUUUUCUGACAAUUACAUUUUUCACAAAAUAAAAGUUCAAAAUUGAUAAGAGUAAUUAGGUUUAAUCAAUUUCCACAACCAAUCAUUCCAAGUUAAUCAGUUUACAUAAUCUAAGAACAAACAAACUGGAAAAUAAAUAAAUAAAUUGCAACUAACUUGAUAAGCAGAAGUUCCAGAACCAAAAACAAAGUCAGCCGGGAAAUCUGUUCUGCUAUAAUGAUCAACGCCGUGAACCGCCACCGGUAAAUGCAACACCAGAGAUAGCAAACCAAUAUACAAGCUAAUUUCACUCAUAUUCUUCCAAUCGCUUGGAUUUUACUCUUACCCACUGCCGAAACCCUUUUCAGUUUCUUCCAUUUUUAUAUAUAAAUAUUCCAUCAGCAAACUACAAAGCAAAAUUCUUGCAUAACCAAUGACGUAUUAUACAUAAUUUUAAAUAAACUUUCCUUCAAAAUAAGCACUUAUUUGAUGUGACAAACUUAGUUUAUCGAUCAAACAUGCACCGCACUUUAUGACUUUUCCACCUUGGAAAGUUUGUUCUUUCUGGGAAAAAUUGAGUUCAUCGUCCCUAGUUAAUUGCUCGAGCAAGAAAUUUGUCUCUGUCAUGAUAUUUCCCAUUAUGAUAGGUUGACUUGUAUGUUUACUCUAAUCACUCGAGCCAAGCACCAAAAAACAGACCAUCGUUGCCAAGCUUAUAUUUUUACCUAAAAUAAUAUAUUUCUUAUCUUGAUUUUUGUUUUCUAUUGGAAAAUGCUGAUCAUUGGCCGACCAUUCGGCUAAAUUUCUAUCUCGAAUGAUGUUUCAAGUCAUACAAAAUGUCGUACUCUACUUGGAAUAAAGUAUACGAUACUUAAAUUAAUAAAUAACUUAUAUACGUGAGAUAUUCGUUUAUUUGUUAUAUAAUGUCUUGUUUGUUUUUUAUCAUGUUUUAUGUAUUUGGAAUAAGCUCCAAUUUAAAGUACAUUUAAACAAAAGAAGGAAUGAAAACAAACAUCAAAAGAUGAAAGAAGUGAACAGAUUUUGUUAAUCUAUAACUAGAAUAUAUUAUUAUUGAAAGCCAAUUGAAUUUAGAAUUCAACGCAAUUUAUAGCUCACAGUUCGGAGUUUUAUAUCGAAAGGGUACUUGUGAUCGCUAGAAGGCAAAGGAAUAAACUAUACUCGAUACAAUUUUGGGGUUAAUAUUGACCGGAAAAGAGAAACACUUCAACUUAUAAAUACCCUCAAAUGUAGGGAUGACAAACUUGCUCUUGAACGCUCAUUCAAAGGGUGAAUUGCAAAUGGGAUUCAACCUUUCACAAAAGUGCCUUAAGUCCCAAGCUUUUUAUUUUUGACAUCACAAUACCAAACAUUUGCAAAAAUAGGCAACAUAAGGACUUUUGAAUAGAUUUUGCUCAAAGGUCCCUUAGUUGGCCAAAAAUUAAAGAUAAACCUUCAUUCAACUAUUAUUAAGAAGAAAUGGUCCCUCUAUAUUGCAAAGAGCAAUAUCACCAAAUGGAUUCAUGUCCCUAAUUUUAGGAACCUCCUCAAGCUUCUCAGCCCGGUCUUGAGAAGAAGACUCGGAAGCACUAUAAAUCGUAUUAAUAACUAAAUCAUUGGAUGAGAAAUCAAAAUUAAGAAGUGGGAAUCAACCUGUGAAAUUGAUCAAGUGGUAUACCUCAUUCUUGAAAAUCUCUCAAGUCGAGAGUGGUUUUUAAUAAGAACAAAAUAAGGUUAUUUCAACAAGACAACUAAGAAGAAAGCCACUCUCUCUUAGCAUGCAAAUGUAGGCCAUUUAUAGAUUCCAAUCUCAAGUGUGCAAGGGGAGGAGAUUUUCAUCCUUGACAAACUGCUUUAGCAAAACGAAAUGACGAAAGCAAAUGAUAAAAACAGUGAAGAACAAUCAAAGAAUUGAAUAUAAUGCCAAAGUGCAAGAGGAAACUAGCAAGGACCAAAAUGUCUCAACACAAAGAAAACAAAUUUACCCCCUUUUUUGCACCAAGAAAUACAUUUACGUUCAUGUUUUCAUCGUUCCAGAACACAUAAUACAGUUCAUUUAUUUUUUUAUUUUCAACAAGUUCUCAAGAAAAUUGAUUAAUUUCCUUCCAUCUUCCAACCGAUUAAAAAAAGAUCACCAAUAAUGAUUAUCAGUGAUGACCAUCAUCUCCACCUCCCUUGGCCUUCUGUGCAGCUGCUCUCAGCUGGCGCUGCUCCUCCUUGUAGAUCCGAUUCCUGCGUUGGAACUGUAUUAUACCACCGACAGAAGCCAAGUGAGACUCGAGGCGUGUACAAAAUCAUAGCAAAAAACCUAGGGAACAGAAUGCAAACAACUCCUUAUUUUGAUUAUAAAUCUGAACUGUAAAACAUUAUUUUCAGCCAACUUGCAUGUCUCGUCAGAUUAUUGGAUAGAGCCCCCAAAUCACAAACAACCUAGAUAUUUAUUAAAGGAAAAAAAAGGGGACAGAAAGUGGAUAAGAGUGGAGAAGUGAAAAGAGCUUAGUGAUAGUGAGAUCAUUGUUUUCAAAAGUGCCGCGGCUUAUGCCUUGAGCAUGCCUCAAGCGAGGCCUUCAUAAGAGCCUCAAAACUUAUGCUUUAUGAGCCAUUUGCGACGAAAAAUUAGAAGGGAUAUUAUUAUAUCCAGUUUCCAAUUUUAAUGCGUAUUUUAGGAAACAUUAUUAGGGUUUGAUUUAUAUUCUUUAUAUUAUUUUUAGGAUCUUUUGAAACCCUAUAUAAAAGCAUCUUAUGCGACCUAAUUCAUAAGCUUUGAUAUAUGAAAUUAACUGAUUUCUCCCCCAAUUUCUAUCUUCCUCUCUCCCUUUUUCUCUCUUCUCCCCCUCCUUUCUCCUCUUCUCUACCCUUUUCCUUUUGCAUCCGACAUUAAUUUGUCAAAGAACUUGCUUAGGCGCAAGCCUUGUGGUAUAAGCUCACGCGUGUGUGCAUUAAUCUUGCCUUUUGGGAGGAACAUUUUUUGCUUGACUUUUGAAGCUAGUCUUGUUCAUAACCUUAAACAUUUGGGUUGUGCUAAAAGAGCCAACUCUAAACUAGAAAGAUAAGAAUUAGAGAUUAAAUAAGAUAACAAGAGUCAAGUGUGUCCUAGGUUCCUAAAAUUGAAGUGAGAAACCUCCCCCAAGUGAAGUCGCAAAUUUUUGGAGAGGUAGACCAUCCGCACCACAUAACUUCCUUUUCUGUUUAUUUUCAAUUUUUCCUGUUGUCUUCAGGGAAAAAAAUCUGGCGAAGGACCCAUGGGAUAAAGGGGUCUUUUCUUUUUUUGGGUUGUGGUGGGGGGGGGGGGGGGAUUUUUUGGGGGGGGUGGGGGGGGGGGGGGGGUUGUUACUGGUGAGGAUUUUGAUGUGACUGGUGAGGAUUUUGAUGUGUUAGAAAGAUUUAAAAGCAGGGCUCAAGUAAGAUAUACAAAUCAAAAAGCAAUUAGGUCAAGUCAACUCAGCAGGCAACCAGUUCAACCCUCCUUCCUCAAUUGACAUCUCCACCCAUGCUGCUUUGUUUUGACAAUGAAGAAAAAAUGGAAAGACAGAAGCCUUUGUGAAAGAAAGAUGAUGUCCAGUUGCUAUUACGAUUUUUUACAGGAUAGAUUUUAUCUGACUUCUGAAAUAUCCAUAAGUUUUACUUGCAAACCAUCCUAAGUGGAUGCAACUGAAAAAAAUUGCAGUUUGACAUUCAUCCAAAGGGAAUGGGUUUGAACAGAAAGUUCAUAUGUUAAGGUGCUCGUAAUUACUAAAGAACCAGUAUGGAUGAGAGCUGGGAAAAGAAACAUAAUUGCGCUAGAAAGAAUAUCAUUGUACAAAGUGCAAACUUACAAACUGUCAUAAAAUGACAUGAAGACAGGAUAUAAGCAAACUCCCAGAUAGAAUGCUUUUUGGAAAGAAAAAGAAUGACAGAGAAAUCAUUACAAAGUGCAAACUAUUACUAAUCCAGAAUCUAUCUUUUCCUAAUUGAAAUAAGACAAACUCACGUGGUUUCGCAUAUCUAAAUUGUUGAAUUACCCCUCAAGAAAGUACAAAUUAACAAUUAAUUUUAACCACAUAUUUCAUAGGACCCAUAACUUUUCACCCACACAUUUCAUCAACUUUUAUCAAAAUCUACUAAAAAUAUGAUUUUUGAUCCCCUCCAAACGGGGUUAAAUAAAACCAUGUAUUCAAUUGUCUACAAAAUUAUAGUUCAAGAAGCUUCCGCAGAGCAGCAUACUGAUGAAAAAAGGAAGAAUCUAGCCCAUCGGUUAUCCAUGUGGCUAUGAGAACAAAAGCAAGACCCCUUUUAGUGGCUCCUGGUCUCGCCUGACCAGAUUGAAUAAGAAAUAAAAGCAAAAAUUGAAAACUAAUUUAGAAAUUAAAAAAAUUGAAAAGCCAACUUAUUAAAAAAAAAUACUCAACAUUUAAAAAUCUAACUUUUGUUAACUAUCUCAGUUUUUUUCUUUUCACAUUGCUCCUAUGCUUUUCAAAAUACAAAAAUUGGUUUGGCUUAUUUGGGUGAUAACAUAGAUUCCAACUUAAUUUAGCUGCACCCAUCAGAUUGCGUCAAACAAACACAUUCUUCGACGGCUAAAUUAUAUUAAAAAUCCUAGAUACUUCAUGCUUUUCACAACAGUGACCUAUGUUUUUAUUUGCACAAUUCAAAUAUUAUCCUUUUCAGAAUAACUCCAACCAAAUUCUGGUGAGACUACUAUUUUUCAAUAAGCAAACUUCAAAUAAAAAAUUGUCAUAUUGCAUGGCAUCCAACUCGACUCUGACAAGUCUCAUUAAUUUAUAGAUCAAAAACUUAAAGAGGCUGUGCAAAGAGAAAAGGGAAAAACCCAACACCAUUCAGUAUCACAAUAUCACUACAGUCACUGUUGCCCUUGCACCACCACCAUUCCACCACAUGUCGUCAUUGCUACGCUGCCAUCCUCUCCAUAUUACGCCACCGGUGACACAAUCUCUUUAACAGGCAUCACCGCUAAUGACCAUGUGUAGGCAGCAAUACUGAUAUUAACAAUUGCAAAUAUAAUGUUGCUUGGAUUUUGGAUUAAGACAAUUCUAAUGAUCCUCUCAUUACCUUCACUAUCUUUUUUCUCAAAUCUUGACAUGUAAGUUAAAAAGUUACAUUGGAGUUGAGUAAAAUUAUAAAGCAUUGUAAUUGGUCCACCAAAAAUUUUUGCUAGAAUCCACAAUAUCAUUUACAUAGACACCUAGGCAAAGAUCACUAAAAUCUAGCUGUAGACUGCAUUGUUCAUAUUUAUAAAGAAUGGGAUUCAAACUGCAAAAUUUAAAGAAUGGAAUACAAUUAUGAGAAAGUGUAAUGCAUAGAAAAUUCUUAAUGCAAUUUAGCAGUAUAUUAAUAGGAUUUGUCACUAUCAGAGUCGAUAAGCCAUUACAUGGGCAUGCCAGUUUUCAUCACUUGAUUAUAGGAUACCAUUAUUGUAUCUUAUUAGAAUGAGCAUCAGUUAUGCAAAAUAUAAAUGGAUUGAACAUUGUAGUUAAUAUGCCAAGAUACUUAUAACAAAAGUGAAGUAUAAUCACAAGUUAAUAUACAGGGCGGCCCUAAUAUUUUGGAGGCCUUAAGCCAAUUUUAAAUAUGGGGCCUAUUGAAGAAAAAUCAUUGUAUUCUUACUUGAGCCUUUUUGCAUAGAGUUUUAAUAUAAUGACGAAGAAUCUAAUACCGACAACUCAACCCCAAAAUUUGAAGAGGAAAAUAACAAAAUGUAAAAAUUCAACAUACAAUACAAAUUAGAAGUGAAGUUUGUCAUACAGAACUACAAUGCAAUGGCAAUGGGUCUGUUCGUUUCUUUGAUCAUUUUUUCACUAUAACUAUUUAAAACAAAAUUAAAUAUGUAUUUGAGUGAAUUAUGUACAAAAUCGGAGAAUGUUGAUUGCAAGAGAUUAUAUAACAAAAUAAUGAAAAUGACGAUCAAAUACAAAUGAGCUUCUAAUUUUAUAUUAAUUCAUACUGAAUUAACUUUAAAAUAAGAAGAAAAUAAGAAGUAUGAACACGGAUAAAAAAUUAUUAAAUUCAAAGUACCUUUAACAAGCAUAAAAAAAGCUAUUAUAAUGAGAUUAAAGCAAAACGAUAACAAUAACAGCCUAUGAACUUUGUAAUAUAUAUUUUUACGAUAAAGGAGAAAUUAAAAAACCUGUAAGGUCGUAAUAAUCGCAGUGAUACUAGACCAAUAUAUUAAAUUGAAUCUUCAAAAUUUUAAUUCAACGUAAGAUAAUUCAUUUCUUGUUUGGUGAAAAAAAUUAUGGUGGAUUACUGUUGAACGUGAAAUUUGAAGAGACAAAGGGACAUUUUUGGUUUGGUUAAGGAAAGAAAUUGGAUAUUUGGAAGCUAAAUGGUCAAAUUAAUUAGAGAGAGUGAUGUUUGGAUAUAUUUAUAUGAUGUGAUAAGCUUUAUGCUAUUUAUAUGUUUCUCUAAAGAUUUUUGUAUUUUCAAUUUUUAUUAGUUUCUUGUGCUUGCAUAUUAAUCAUUCUAUUUUAAAGAACUUCAUAAAUGUAAUUUUUAUUUUUCUUCAAUCAAUUAACCUUACAUAAUUUGGGGUCAUCACCAAAGUGGGGUCUUAUACGUUUGCCUAUCUCGCCUAUAGUCAAGGCCGCCACUGUUAAUAUAUUCUCAACCAUAGAGCUGAACUCCAAUCUAGAGCGAACUCAAAGAAAACAAUUCCCGCUAAAAUAAUAAACAGUCCAGAUAUAGCCCUAAAUGACAUUAUAUUUAUAUUCCGAUUUAAUCCCUAAGCAAAAAAAUUGAAAAAUGUCAGAUUCUAAUUUCUGCCCAUCCCUAAUUUGAAGGACCGAAUUAAACUAAUUACUACAUUUCAUUCAAUGAUUCUCUAUGCUAAUCGAAAAGUAAUAAUUUUAGAGCCUAACAAAAAAAAAAAUUAACAAGACCCUAAUUUAACGAAAUCUUACCAUCAGAGCUGAAAUCCAUAAUAACACAAACAUCAAGAUUGGGGUUUCAGGGAGAGUAGAUAAAGAACGGACCUCUUUGGAGUGGUGAAGGCACUCAAAAUAGUCUUCACGGAGCAGAGCACAGUCCUUGGGCUCCCGGCAACGGGACAUGCACUCGCUGAAAUCCAUCCAAAAAUCGUAGCACCUCCCUUUGUUCCCCGUUAUACCCCAUCCUGAUGCCAUUUUACGCCGGCGAUCUCUCGACAGUGGAUUUUUCUCGAACCUUCCGUCAGCUCAGUGGACUUUUUGUUUCAUGUUGUGCGAGUGAACACGAGUUCGGUUCUGAGCCGAUUUAAGGGUUGUUUAGGUAUUUUAGGUUAUAAGUACGUUAUAACCGAGCCACAAUUAAAAUAUAGUUUCAAUAAAUACACCACAAUAAAUUUAAAAUUAUACUCCUAAUACAAUAAAAAUUUAAAAAUAAAAAAAUACAAUAUUAUGAUGUCCUCGUCUACCUAAGAAAUCUGUUAAAGAAAUUCAAAAUGAAUGGAAUGCUGUGAUUAUUUAAAAUUGCUGCUUAUUAUUCUUCAAAGCACUACGUGAUCGAGGAUCUAAUGUACUAACAAUCUACAAAACCAACAUAGGCCUUGUAAAGUCUAUAUGCAUAUAGAUAGAGCGUUAAUCACACAUGCAUAAACAUAGUACUUAUAUGUGUAUGAAUUUUUACUCCUUGUACAUCAAAAUGAUAUAUAAGGAGUUCAACACAUAUAUCGGGAAGGCAAUUCAAUGACAUUGGGAGGGCAAUUCGGUGGCUGAUAUCCUGUUGAAAUUGGGAGCAUCUUGUGUUUCACAAAUUUGGAUGGACUCUAUGUUGCGAGGCUUUUUUCCUCACAAUUUGUCUUUAAAUCUUCCAAUGUUAUUUUAGAUUACACGGAGUUUGGCUUACUUUGAUUUGGAUAGUGAAUUGCAAAUGUGUAACUACGGUAUUCUUUCACCACAAGUAAGAGUUUAUCAAUAAAAGAUCGUUUAAAAAAAAAGAUAUAUAAGGAGAUCGUUUAAAAAAAAAAGAUAUAUAAGGAGUUGCCGAAUAUGAUGUGAAUGGAAAGUAGAUUCAAAAAUUGACUAUAUUUUAAACUAACAAAUGAUAAUGUGCUAUAUGAAUAUUAUGUAAUUCCGUAUAUAAAUAUUGAUAUAUAUGUAGCAAGAUCCAUAUGUACGUAUAUACGUUAUCCUAAUUAAUUUUCACUAAUUAAAAACCAAGCAGUCCGAUAUCCAAAUUCAUAACUAUAUAUAUAUAACAUGGAAAUAACACAAUAGAGUGUAAGUUCACUAAUCCUGAGGAAAAGAGAAUUAUAUUGUCAUCAUGGAAGAAAGCAAAAAGUUGCCAUUAACGGAAAAGAUGUGUGCAGUUAGAAGUUGAGAAAAAAGAAAGACAAAAAUAAUGAUAAUAAGGUUAUGUUUGUGGUGGAAUAAUAAUUUAUUUUAGGAUAAUUAUAUAUUAAAAUUCUAAUUAUGUAAUUUUAUUUAAGGAUAUUUAAGUAAAUAAGAACAUUAUUAAAAAUUGUGGAGUGCUUAAUACAAUUUGUGGUGAUAAUAUAAUUACCUUGAUUAUUAUUGGGUAAUUUCACACCACAAUUUUUAUUUAUUGCAACACAUUUUAAUUAAAUUUAAGAUUUUUAAAUUUUGUUUAUUAUAAUACUUAUGUCCCUAACAGUUUUUCAUGUUAUUCUUAGCCUCAAAAUUUUCAUUAGUUAACACACUUUAAUUUAAUAACAAUUUUAUAUCCAAAAAUCCGUUGAAUUGACAUAAAAGAAUUUAUUUUUCCUUCAUAUUUUAAAAAAAAUGAAUAAAAAAUAAAAAGUAUAAAAAUAUAUUUCCUUGUGAUUAAAUCUUUUAAUAUAAAAUCAUCAUUAAGGACAAGACAUACUAAUUAAAAAGAUGAAGAUAAGAAUUCGAAGGAAAAAAGUUAAUGAAAUAAUUUCCACAGUGAACAAAGAUUGAGAAGCUUAACGUUAAUUAAGAUAUGAUGUGACAAAUAAAAAUGAUGAUGUCAAUAUAAUAAACCUUUAUUAUUUUCAAUGGAUUGAUUAUAGGGGUUUAUAUUCACACCUAGGGAUGUCAACGAAACGAAUCGAGUCGAGUCGGUUCGCGAGCCAAAAUUUUUGGCUUGGGCGCGGCUCGAACUUUUCUAAGACAGGCCUUUUUUAACUCGAGCCGAGCCGAGCAAAAUCUCAGUCGAAAAAUUAAGACUCAACUCGAGCUUUCGGCUCGGGCUUUACUGAGCCGGACCGAACUUGAUUUCUGGAAGUUCAUUUAUUUAUUUUUAUAUACCUCUAGCUGCAGCUGAUUUUUCUUUCUUUUUUCUUUUUUUUUUUAAUACGGGCUGGGCUUGCCCGACUCGAGUCAACUUUCAAAAAUGAGGCUCGGCCUGAGCUUUGGCUCUGUGCCUCCGAGCCUCAAGCCGAGCCGACUCGAGCUUUUUCCAAGCCAAGUUACGAGUUGUCUAAGCCGACGUGCCGAAUUGCCAUCCCUAGCCACACCACAUGUGUAAUAAAUACACUACAUUUCAAUUACAUUGAAGAUAAUUAAUCUUUAUUUAUUAUCACAUUUAUAUUUUAACUUUUUUUCUUCAUUGUAUUCUUAACUUUAACAUUUUAUUAUUAUUUUUUUUUUUGUUUUUGUGAAAGGUAAUCAAUUAUUUUAUUAAUCAAACCACAAUAAACAGAACUUUAACAUUUUAUUAAUAAAAAAAAAUUGUCCUUAAUCACGAUAUUCUCUCAAAAUAAUAUUUAACGUGCUUUAAAAUGAAGAUCAAAUAUUUAUUAUUAUUUUGCUUCUUUAAAAGUGCAAUGGGUAAAUGACUCCUUUUACUCAUCUUAAAUAAAUUUUUCAAGGGAAAUCAUGAUCAGGAUCAAAUGUUGUUAAUUUAAAAGUAAGAAUGCAAUAAAUAAAUAAAUAAAUAAAAAGCUCGAGACAUAAAUGUGAUAAUGUGUAAAAAUUAUGAACAUUUUUUACAAUUAAAAUAUAGCUAGUUAUCAAAAAAGUGUGGUGUGAAUGUACAACAAUUAUUUUAUUUUAUUUUUAUGAAUACACGGUAUUCAUCAUUAUACUUAUAUUCUCAACCCUUUUUUCAUCAAAAUCUUAUUUUUAACAUUUCAUUGAUCGAAAAAUCUUAUUCUUAAUCUUGAUUUUUGUUCAAAAAUGAUAUUAACUUGCUUUAAAAUGAGUAUCAAAUAUUUAAAUGCAUUUUUGUACUAUUAUUAUUUAUUUAUUCUACAUAUUUAAGAAUAUAAUGAGCACAUGUGUCUUUCUACUCUAUCUUAAAUAUAAUUUUGGAAAGAAAUAAUAAUCAUAAAUAGUUUAUGUUAAUUUGAGAAUAAGAGUACGAUGGAAAAAGUUUGAAACAUAGAUGUAAUAAUAUAUAAAUGUUAUAAACCUUUCGUAUAAUUAAAGUGUAGUCUAGCUAUUAAAAAUUGUUGUGUGAAUAUAUUUAACAUUUUGAAUAAUGCAUAGCUAUAUAACAGUAAUCUAUUAAAUCUGUUUUCAUCCAAAAGUCGUGUUCAUGGGUGUGAGAAAGACUAAUUUGUCCCUCCAUUUUAAAUAAGUAAAAAAAUACAAGAGUUUAAAAAAUAUAUUUUUCAUCUCAACUCAAAACACACUGACCAAAUAUUUAAAAAUUUAUUGUUAAGGAUAAAAUGUGCUAAUUAACUGAAAGUUCGUGAUAAAAUAUUACGUAAAAAGUUCAGGACAUAAAUGAGCAAAAGUUGAAGACUUUCGUUGCAAUUGAAAUAUGUUGUAGUUAACAAAUAAUGUGACGAACUUUGCUCCAGACCUAGUCGAAGUCCUAGUGGAAAACAACAUUCUAAAAUGUUGUAAUUCGAGGAUAGAGUUGAUUAAAAGAUGCAAAAAAAUAAAUAAAUAAUAAUAAUAAUUAAUAAAUAAAUAUGAAGCUGUGAUCUUAAAGCUCAACGUGAAAUUGGUGUAAACAAAAUAUUUUCGAAGUGUGGAUGCAUGUUGAGAAGUACCAUUAUCAUUCUAUGAAGUAUCAACAAUUCCUAUUAGUGAUGGCAACAGGGCGGGUUCGGUAUGGGGCACCCCCAUGGCCACUACCAUGAAGUCAACAAUGAUAAAAACAUGAAUCACCAUCACUUCUAACAACAAUCAUGAAGAUGAUGGCAGUGGUGAUCAUGUUCUUGUUAACAAAGGGUUGUAGCUGGGGAUGUCAAAAGGGUCAAGCCUCUCAGCUCGUCGAAAUAAGGCUCGUGGACGACUCGCGCUCAUAAAAUCACGAGCCCGAGCACAAGCCGAGUGAGCCUCGUCGGGAGGCGAGCCGAGCCAGCUCGGCUCCUCUCUCGCCCACAAGGGGUUCGUUGAAACGAGCCGGGCUCAUGGCUCGCGAACUAUAAUGACCGUUUUGGUCACUUUUCAGUGACGGUCACUGAAUUUAUUUUUUUUUUGCUUCUACUAUAAAUACCCUAUAACUCCCCCUUUUUUUCCAUAUCAAUUAUCUCCUCUCAAUUGCUACUUCUCAUUUCUCAACUCUCUCAACUCUAUUUUAUUAUAUUAAUUAUCGAGUUUUUACUCUCUUAUACUCCAAAAUGUAUAAUAUCGAUUCAUUUUUUACAGUUUAUUCAAUUACAAUAUCAAUUCUCACAAUCUCCCUACAUUUAUAUUUUUCUAGUUUAUAUUUGGAUUUCAACAUAAAUAAUCAAACAAAAUGGAUCAAUGCUCAUUUGUUGAGAGUUUAUUUGAUACGGGAUGUGGGCCACAUGGCGAAUAGCCUACGACACUCGCAAAGUCAAUUUUCAAAUGAAUUUGUCGGUCUAAAUGACGUACCCAUUCACGAAGAUGUUCACAUUCACGAUUAAGGAAACUACAAUUCAAUUGAUUUGGAUUAUAUUAAUAUUCACGAAGUGGAACACGAGGACGAAGAUAUCGAAUUAAACAUCCCAGAUGCGAGGGGAAAGCGAAAGGGCAAAAAACAAGCAAAAUGUUGGGAUCACUUUAAGUUGAUUUUAACGGAAAAAGUCGUCGAUGGCCUUACAGAAUCUAAAACAGUAUAUAAAUACUGCCAAUAAAAAUUGGCAUGGUAAAAAGGAUUUGGUAUCAAUCAUCUCAACCGCCACUACAAAGCAUGUGGGGCCAGACAUGAACUUCUUCCAACUAGUCAAACACAAUUGUAAUUUGACAGUCCAAGCGUCGAUUCUCCGACUUCAACCCUAUCAACGUGGGUGUAUUCAGAGGAUAAUACUUGAACCGGAAUGGUGAAAUUUGUUGCCACCACUGAGUUGCAUUGCAGACAAUCAAUACUUCAUCUCGUUCGUGAAAGAAUAUUUGCAACCAAAAUACGUUGUGGUAAGUCGAAACACUCUUCGUGCCGAUACAAUACAAUAUUUCAAUAAUUCAAAACAACAAUUAAUUAUGGAUUUACAACAAUAUGAGGGUGUUAUAUCUUUAACUUUUGAUAUAUGAGAAUAGGUUAAUAAAAGAACAUAUAUAGGUGCAACCGCACACUAUAUAAACCCAUUUUGAUACAUGCAUAAAAAAUUAUUGAUUUUAGAAUUAUUGAAUUUCCUCACAAUGCUAAUAAUAUAUAUAAUGCUAUUAUCAGUAAUGUUAGAGAAUAUAAUUGCGAGACUAAAAUUCGAUUUUUUUACUUUUGAUAAUGCUAGUAUUAAUAAGGUAGUCGUUGUAAAUUGUGCAGGACACUUCAACCUGAUUUUGGUGGGUAUUUGUUUCAUAUUCGUUGUGUGUGCCAUAUCUCGAAUUUAAUCAUGCAAAAUGACUUAAAACAUAUAAAUGAUGAAUUUCAAAGGAUUAGAAAUGUAUUAGUAUAUAUUACGAUCUAUCCUAAUAGAAAACAAGUAUUUAUAGAUUUUUGUGCCAAACUAGGGGUGACGACUGUUAAAACAUUUGUUAGUGACGUAGGCCAUAAAUGGAACUCUACUUACUUGCUAUAUAAGUCAUGUGAAGGUUUCGAACAUUUAAUAACUGACUUUUAUAACAAUAGACACAUUAGAAGUGAUGAUGAUGGUAUGUUAAAUGAACUCGAUUGAGUUUUAGUUUUGAAAGAUAAAUGAUUUUUGACAUCUUUUUAUAAGACUACAAAAGAUUUUAUUAGGCGUUUAUUAUCCAAUAAGUUGUAUGGUACUUGAACGCCUUUAUAUAAUUGCAAGAACAUUCCAUAAAUAUAAAAAUGAUCCUACUUUUAGUGAAUUUAUAAUUUCUAUAGAAUUAAAGUUUAGAAAAUAUUGGGAAGAACUGCCUAUGUUAUUUUCUUUAGCAUGGGUAAUGGGCCCCGAUAUAAUAUUUCGAGAACUAAAUACGCAAUUGAUCAAAUCAAUAAAGUCUUAAUAUUUGAUAAACUUAUCACCUAUAAGAAUUUAUAGUAAAUAUUAUGUGGAACGUAUGAUUUAUAUGUAGAAAGAAUGGGUGCGAAUGUUAGUUCGACAUCCUCUGCACCUAUUCUUUCGGCUGAAAUUGAAGAAGAUAAUGUCGAAAUAAUGAAUUUAUUUCAAGGCAUUAAUACA